rnacentral:lncRNA from 1 species
ACACGCCCGGGAAGCGGCCGCCGCGGAGCCGGCGUCCGCAGCGGCUGCGCAUCUCGGGCCUGCAGCGGGGCGCUUGGCGGGCGGGGGCCGGGGGAGAGCCUGUUUGCGCAGUACCCCCGGAGGGCGGAAGGCCGCCGAGGUAAGAGCCGGGACUCGGCCAGGUGGGAGUGGGCACCUUGGGCCGGGCCUGCAGGGCGGUCCCCGAGCGUCCCGGGGUAGGGUGGGCUCCCUGGGGACGAUGCCCAGGGCCCCGGCCGCGCUCCGGUCGCGCCCCACCCCGGCUGCAGCGCGGCCUUGGGGCGCUGCUGGCCUCGCCGCGGGGGUGGGAGCGGUCGCGGCCUGGAGCAGCUCCGGGCGGGCCCCAGGCUCUGGGGCCAGGGCCAGCUGCGCGCAGGGGUGAGUGAGCAGCCCCCGGGCCCUCAAGUGAGCCCCUGUCCGCUCCCCACCUUGCAUUUCUCCUCUCCGCAGUGGGCGUGGUGCCCCUUUGCUGCAGAGGGGGCGCCCAGAGUUGAGGAAGGCUGCGGGGGAGAACGCAGAGACAGGUGGUUGAGGGGGCGAGGGCUGGUGCGCCAAGGCUCGAGGUAUUAAUGCGUAUUUCUUUUUCCCCCCUUCUUCAGGGGGCGCGGAGGUCCGUGUGGAGGAGGAGGCGGGAAGGCCAGAGGCAUAGCUCAGGAGAGGGCAGGUGCUGCGGGAGAUCACUUGGCUCUGUCUCUGUUCAGCUGCCCCCACCCCUGCCAAAUUAAUAAAGUGGGUGUGGUGAUGACGGUGGAGGAGUUUGAUUAAGACCUGGCCCAAACUGCCCAGAACUGCCCCAGGCCGGCCGCCUAGUCCCGCGUGUAUAUCCGGGAGCCGCAGACUCUGAGCAUUCUGUAGAGGGAGGGGGAAUAUUACCCGAAGGAGCUACAGCCACUGAGGCAGCUCCAGAGAUAGGGGCUGCGGAGCAAUCUUCAGGCUCACAGCCCAAGUUCAUAGAUGGUGAAUUGGCCAGGAAUGGUGGGAGAUGGGGGCUGUAGGGAAAUAGGGUAAUUUCCUUAGGACCCCUUCCUUCCAGCUUUGCAACCGUAGACCAAAAUUUGGGAUCUGGCAUUUGUCAAAUGUGCUUAAUUUUUUUUUCUUUCCCUUUCGGUUUGUUUUGUUUUUUAGAGAAACAGCAAGUGACAGAGCAGAGGAACGGCUGGCCCAGCCAAUCCUGGAGCUGCUGUUGCAGCACUUGUUCCCCAAACAAGUGCUCCUACAUUCUGGUAGGAGGACAGAGAGGAGGGGGCUACUGGUCCACACCCCUCCCCUGCCGAGGACCCCAUGGCUGCUCCCCUGCAGGAAAGGCAGCUAGGCUGCCUUAGGCCGGAUGGGCAGAGGCUGCCAUGGCCCAGGGUGGUGACGGUUUUGCGGCCCCUCCCUGCUGCCCAGAGUGGGAAGAAGAGCGCAGAGCCUGGCAAGUUUCUCUCUGUGUCCUCUGGGCUGGAAGGAGCAGGUAUAGACAGGGCCGAGGCAGCCAGGGCCUGGUGCUGCUUUGGCAUUGGUGGCAGGAGGGCUGAACCUCCAGCCCCUUGGGUUUGGUUCCACCCCUGGCCUGUCCCUGGCACUCGACAACUGCUCCUGUGUGCUUAUUGGUGCCACCAUGUUAUAUAACGCUUAUAUAAUCUUCCAGGGCGAGCACUGUGUCUCCGCUCUCAGGUCACGCAGACACGGUGUCCGUGUGGGAGGCAGGAUCUGUGGAAGCCUGUGGGUGAACCUACUCCCCCGAUCCCCAACCUGGCUCCUUCUCCUGAUCUCAGCCAUAGGAGGGGGGCUGGGAGAGCCAGGUCCCUCUCCACACCAGCUGUGUGGGAUGAGAACACGGUUGGCUGGGCAGUUUUCCUCACCUUCCUGCCCCACUAGUCCCACUUGCCCUGUCUGGUAGAGCAGAAGCCAUCCUUGUGCUUUGAUACCAGCUCUUUGUUUUGGGGGACCCCUGGCAUGGCAGGUGGCAUGGCGAGAUGAACCCCAAAAUGUUGCAGUGGAAGAACACAUGGUACUUAGGGUUGGAUAAAGAGAGGGAGAAAUUAGCUCUGCCUUUGAGGAGCAAGGGUAACUAGAAGGAUGGUGGUGGCAUUAUAAGAGAUUUGGAGCAGGCCUGGGGCUAGGGGAUGGUCAGGGAAGGGUGUACAGGGAAGUAGAUCAGACAGCAAAGAUAAACAUGGUGUUCUUUUACUGUACUCUCCACUGGGCUGUCCCUGGUUACCGGGGCAACAGAAGCAGUGAUGAAAAUCAUGCCUUUCGUUCAGUGGAAAAAUUUGGCUCCUCCUCCCGGCUCUUCCUUCUCUAAAUCGCCUGUGACCCAUUGAGAGGGUUAUGCUUCCAAGGAUCAGAGAGAGACCCCAGCAUGUUUUCAUCAUGCUCCCCUUUCCCCAGUCUUCUUUAUCAUCUCCCCUCUUCCUGCAUCCCCUGUCUCCCCCCACAGCUCGGCAGUUGGCAGUUGCGUAGGAGUUGGAGUAGAUGCAGGGGGAAGGGCAUGGACGUCAUCACAGGGCAGGGUGAGCAGAGCGUGGGCAGAGAUGUGGAUGCAGGAAUGCCUGGCACAUGAGGAGGGUCCAGCAUUGAUGAGCUAGAUGGAGCCAAAAGCCUGUUUCUGGGCUGGUAGGAGCUGAGGUGGGCAGGGUGAGAUGAUGGUGGGCCUUCAGAGUUCAGCAGUCUGGGUUCGAGGGAGUAGGAACUAGGAAGGGCCUGAGGUUUCUUGUGCAGAUAUCUUGUGAUGAAAACUACCAAACCGUAUCCCUUUUUGAAGUUAAGAUUUUUGUUUAAGUUUUUUCUUUCAUCUUGUGAUGAAAACCGUGAUUCAUUCAUUCAGCAUUUAUUGUGUGCCCCCCAUAUUAGGUGAGGUUCUGGGAACUGGGAAGCCGAAGGUGAGUAGCACUGGACCUUGACCUUGAAGAGACUGUGGUGAAUGAAAGGAGGAUGAGUAUAUGGGGGAAGAUCUGGCAUUGUUGCAAGCCUGGAAUCUGGGGUCCCCAGCAGGAGACUAGCAACAUACCAGAUCGGAGGUGAUAGGUUAGGGUGGAGCCUGUGGAAAUGAAGAAGAAGAGAUAAUUUGGAGUGCUACUCUGGCUUGAGGACAGGACGUGGGGAAGAGAAAGUGCUGAAAUUUUGAACCUUAGUGAUUUAUAGAAAUAGAAACAUUAGAGUUCAAACUUGUUUUGGGGAGUCAUGUUUGAUUUUCUUUUAGACAUGUUGCCUUCAAGAUGAUGGCAGGGUAUCCAAAUAAAAAUGUUUAUGGUCAGGCAAGUAAAAUAUGCAAUGGAAGUCAGUUCUGGGAAAAGAUUUGAAGGAUAUUGGAUUAUGAAGCUUGAAGGUGGGUAGAGGUAGAUCCUAGGGCCUGGGGCAUUACCUGGAAUUGAGUGAGGCUGUAUGCCUUGUACUGGUUUAUUAUCCCAGGGCUUGCCCAGACCCUGGACAUUUCUGCUAACAAAAACCCACAUCUUCUACCAAACCAUAUCCCUUUUUAAAGUUAGGAUUUUUGUUUAAGUUUUCCUCUCCCUAGUAACUAUGUCCAGGUAUACCUGGAAAAACACACACACACACACACACACACACACACACACACACACACACACACGCAUGCACUUAUUUCCCCCAAGGUCUUGUGCCAUUUGCUUAUAGCUCGGGGACGUGCUGUAGAAAUGUGCCACAAGUCUUUGGCCUCUUCUAGCAAGCUGUUUAUCACCCUGGAGGAGUAAGAGCACUGGACAGAGUCAGGAGACUUUUGCUAGCUACGUGAUCUUGGACACACCACUUCCUUUUCCAGGCCUAAGUGUCUAGUCUUAGGGAUCUAGCUUCUUCCAGUUCUGAAGCCCUCUGAUUUGAUGUCUGGAAAGCUUUUUCCACCUUUGCCCAGGUUUCUGAUGCAGACCAGGCUUUUUGAACAAGUAGCCUAGAUUUCUUAGUACCUUGUGGGAGGGACUAGUAGGGAUGGAGGCCUAGUCCCCAGAGUGGGUCCCUGUCUUCAGUGUGGAUAGGAGCCCUCCGGGUGGAUGGGAGCCUCUGUUCCUCUUUGGAGCAUGGAAAUACUGGAAGAGCAGGUUUUCCCAAUGACCAGGGAUUGCAAACUGUGGCCCGUGGGCCGGAUUCCUGUUUUUGUAAAUAAAGUUUCACUGGAACAGAGACACGCCCGUUGUUUGUGUAUUGUCUGAGGCUGGUUUCAUGCUACAAGGGCAUAGUUGAGUAACUGCAAGGGAGCCUGUAUGCCCCAUAAGCCUAAAAUAUUUACUAUCUUGCCCUUUAGGAUAAAAGAUAAAAACUUGUCAACCCCUGCUGUAGACUACCAGAAAAGUGCUUGGCCUUUUACUGAGGAUGCUUAUGAUGGCUAUUUCAGAUUUCUAGGGUUCUUAAAGAUUCUGCAUUGGGCCUGUCUUUGUGAUCCCAUGAGAGGAUGAUCUGGUAGUUGAAAUAGUAGAUUAUUAGAGUCAGCUCAAAAAUAGUCACUCUGUAUCUAGGAAAGCUCUUUCAUUUUCAGCCUUUUCCCUGGAGCCUGGAGGCCUGAGUUCCUCAGCAGGACUGGGUUUGACAAGCUACUGUCCCUCUCAUUCUGAUUUCCCUGGGCAGUACAGAGGAUAUACUGGACUGACCCAAGUGUUGGGUCAAGGAUAUACUGGACUGACCCAAGCCCAGUGUUGAGUGAGGAGAAAGGAGGCUCAUUGGUUCCGCCUGUCCUGUAGGAUCUUUCCCCUGAUAUCUCUAUUGUUUCUGAUCUUACUGGCACCUUUAGUGCCAAGGUCCUGGAGAUGCCGCCACAGAGAGAGCCUGCAACCCAGCCUGGCAUGUCUGUCUGAACCUGGCACUCAUCCACUCUGUCAGAAUAAGGCCCUGGGCUUGGCGUUUGUGGGACAUGUGUCUGUGUUGGCUUGGGACUGGAAUCAGCAUUCAUUAUUCCUGCAGCCAACCUUCAUGGAGUCCUUCUGUGUCCUAGUUUCCACCUUUUUGACCUGGUCCUCAAGCCAGAGUCUUGCUGAAACUCCUAGCUAGGAACAGGGCUAAAGUUCUCGCUGCUGCAGAACAGCAGCAGCCCAGCAGUUGGGGCAGUUCUGCUCAGAUAGGAAGUGAGACACGUUGGUAGCAGGAGGAAACCACUUGCUGGAAGUAGCAGGGGGAACGGAGGUGACUGAGGUUGAUUCUCGUUACACUUGAUAGGGAGGAGGCCAGCAGCAGGAGGAGGGAGCAGACAAUCCAUAAUAGCAAAGAAGACAGAAGUCGAGCACACCUAGAGCUGCUUUUAGCUGGUAAUGGUAACUCUGGCUCUAGGAGCAUUCCUUCAUACCUCCCCGACACAGUUUCCCCAGAGGCUGUUAUAAAGAAAACAUUCUCUCUUAAAUAUCUUUUCAUUUGUAGGGUUUAGGGUGACCCCAUACUAUAUGGUCUUAAACUUAUGUUGAGACAACUGCACUGACUUGGAUAAAUAAAUAUCAUUUAUCAGAUAUUUAUUAAAGAUCUAUUAUAUGGCAGGCGCUGUGUGAAGUUCUCAGGAUACAGAGGUAAAUAAAAGAUUCACAGUUUGAUCUGGAAGGUUUAUGGGCAGCUGAACCAAUUUUAAUUCCAUCUGCACUGGAUCACAUGCUUCAAGAGAGCAUGUCUGUAUCUGUCUUGUCCUUUGCUGUCACCCCAGUGCUGAGUGGAGAGCUUGGCACACAAUAGGCCUCAGAUAUUUAUUGGCUGACCCAUCCUUGUUUGAUCUGUCCUGGAAAUGUGCAGGAGGAAUCUGAGUGGGUAAGUGGAGGAAGAGAGGUGCUUAACGCAGCAAGUGUGACAAAUUUGGGGGAAGAUGGACAUACUUGGAUGUAUGACGAUGAGUGCCUUUAAGUGACUGCCUUUAAGGAAAAGAGAAGGGUUAAAGCUGUAUGGGCAUGACAGAAUCCAUUGGCAUUAGGGCCAUGAGAAGGAAGGAAUAUAACCUGGCUACAAAGGUGGGUUAGAGGUAGUCAGGAUCAUUGGGUAUAGCAGAGGGCCACCAGAAUUGUGAAGAACUAACCAGCGGCAGAGAAGGGAAGAGUGGAAGGAGAGUAGGAGCCAUUGUGAGAGGAAACAUGGAGACCUCUUCAGGCCUAGGAUGAAAGCAGAAAUGACACAAGUGAGUCUCAGAUGAACAUGAUGGCAGGGAUAAAGAAAAGAUGGGACUCUCAGCUCUGUUCUGCUGGUCUCCUCAGAAACCACUGUGUCCAUGUAUGACUAAAAAUGCCUCUCAGUUAUUUUCCAACAGUGCGGCAAAUGCGAGGAAAUUAACUAUGGUUUGACAUUAUGGUUAGUCUUUUUUUUUUUUUUCAAAUUUGUCAAUGGAAAUUUUCACAGGUACACAAAGAUAGAGUUAGCGUAAUACACCUCAAUGUUCCCAUCCCCCAGUUUUUCGACUUGUAAUCAACACAUGGCUUUUCUCAUUUCUUUUAUACCUUCACCCACCUUUUUCUUACUCCCUUCUUGGAUUAUUUUACAGCAAGACCUAGAUCCUGUAUUAUUUUAUCUAUAAAUACUUUUUAAUAUAUCUCUAAAUGAUAAUACCUUUUAAAAACUUAACCCUAGUGGUAUUAUUACACCUUGAAAAAGCACAGUCAUCCCUAAAUAUCUCCUGUCAUCCAAAUAUCCAAAUGGUGUUUAACUUUCCUUCGAUGUCUCAAUUUCUUUCUUUCUUUCUUUUUUUUUUUUUUUUUUGAAAACAGCCAGUUGGUUUGAGUCAGGCUCCAAACAAGAUCCUCAUGUUUCAUUUAGUUGAUGACAAAUCUUCAAGGCUCUGUUAAUAAAGAUUAUGGUCAUUCUUAAAAGAAUUUAUGUUUUGCAAUUCUACCUUUUAGAUUUACUUAGCUACCCACGAUUCUUCCCAGUCAGCUGCCAUCAACAGCUUCCUGAGUUUUGUUAGAUGAUUUUUAUGAUUUUGAGCAUUUUUUCAUGAUCCCUCUUGCCUUUAUGGUUUAAUGUAGCUAGUCAUUUUUCCCUUCCUUCAGUAGAUGUUUCUUGGGAGCCUGCUCUGUUUCAGGAGCUGUACUGGACACUGGGCCUACACCUGUGAAAAGGACAGACAGGGCCCAACUCCUGGAGCUUACAGUUUGACCACAGGAGAGCUGCUGCUUGGCAGUUUUCCCCGUGCGUUCACCCCAGCUGAGCAGUGUGACCACAACCGUCACUUCUGUGCAGGCAGACCUGCCACGUUUUUAUAGCUUGGUGUUCAUGCUCUCAUGCUGUCAUUUUAUGUGGUUGACAAAGGUGCGCCUAGAAUGUUCAAGAAGCCAGGCAUGGCUUCUGUGGCAGGCCUGUGUCUCAUAGCCACACGACCCGGCAUUCUAACUGUGGUGCUGCUUGGGCCUUGUGUGUAUCCAUGUAACACUUUUGGGCUUGAGUGUGGAUAGCUCUGAAAGUUAAAAUGGAGAGCUUCCUGAAUUGGUGGAUUGUGGAGAGGCUAAAUGAACACGUUUAAAGAGGGGGGCUCUGAAUUGUUACAGGGCUUGGCAAAAGCCAAGUGUUGCUAAUAUGUUUGAGCAAAUUGGAUGUUUCUGUGGCUUUGUGGACUUCAGGUUGGUUUGGGGCUUUUGCCUGUUCCAGUUAGGCUACCUGCCAGCCUUUCAGAUGACAGGCCCACUUUCUUGAUUUGCUGUUCGUUGUGUAUUGGUUAGCCAGUCUGCCUCAGUAGCUAAAUAUGAUGAUACAAUUCAGGCCUGUCUUGCUGAUAAAACUUUUAACUGAUUUACAUUUCUUUAUGUAAGUAAAUAAUCAGACUCUGACUCCUGUGAUGCUCUGAUUUUGAGAAUGGUCCAUGAUUCUUCUUAUAUUUUUGCAUUUUCAGUUCAAAUGCAACUGUAUUGUAGUUACUGGAUUAUAGUGUCUGAGCCUUUAAAAAAAUCUUAGUUAAUAAAAGUAUAUUUUCAGAUAUAAAACCUAGUAUCCUUAUGAUACAUAUCUCCUUGUCACUGAAGGCAUGUUCAGCCUCUGAUGAUAUGUUUUGUUUUCUUUCAGUUAAGUGGUCUUUAAUCGUUUUGAUUGUGUGCCCAUAUCAGUUAAAACUUUUGAGCAAUUCCCCUUGUUUGUGUGUGUAUUUAUAAUUUAUAAAAAGUAGUGCUGUGCUAAAAUACAUUAUAGUAUUAUAAAACACAAAACAAAAGACUUCAAAUGGCUAGGAUAUAUUGUAUUCCCUACCUUCUUCCUAAAUGAACUCUUCAUGGUUCUGUCCGAGGGCAGCCUUCUACUUUGCCCUAAAUUUCAGUUACUCUCACAUAUUCGACAUUGCCCCAGCCUGUCCCCUCCUCCUUGCAUCACCACUUUUUCCCCCUGCUCGAUCGUUUCCAAAGGCUUUCUCAUCUUCAAAAAGUCUUCUUUGGUCACCUCUCCCAGCUACUGCCCCAUCAUCUGUCCCUCCAUAUUUUCAGUCCUUGCUGUGUUCACAUCCUCUCUUGACUCACACCACUCUGAUGAAAGUGCUCCUGGCAAGGUCCAUGGUAACUCCCAUGAUCCUGACUCUAGUGGUCACUUCUUCAUCUUCCUCACAGGAGCUCUUCAGUUUGGCACCGCUGAUCAUACCCUUUUCCUUGACGCUGUUUCUUCACUUGGCUUCCAGGGUGUGUAUUUCUGGCUUUCCAUCUGCCUAAUUGGCCAUUCCUUCUCGGCUUCUCAUCUCCCUGACCUCUAAACAUUAAAGGCCCUGGGCACCUCCUCUCUAUCUUCUCUCAUUCUGUCUGUGAUCCUCUCCUGUUGUAUGGCUUUUAAUACCAUCUAUAUGAGUGAUCUCCAGAGUUUGCUUCAGUGUAAUCCUGGGAGAUCAAUAAGAUUGACCAUGAGCUGAUCAUUGUUGAAGCUGGGUGAUGGGUACCUGGGGGUUUAUUAUACGGUUCUCUCUCAUUUUACUUAUGUUAGAAAUUGUCUUUCUUUUUUUUUUUUUUUUUUUUUUUUUGAGGAGUCUCGUUCUGUCGCCCAGGCUGGAGUGCGGUGGCACAAUCUUGGUUCACUGCAGGCUCCGCCUCCCGGGUUCACGCCAUUCUCCUGCCUCAGCCUCCCGAGUAGCUGGGACUACAGGUGCCUGCCACCACGCCCAGCUAAUUUUUUUGUAUUUUUAAUAGAGACGGAGUUUCACCGUGUUAGCCAGGAUGGUCUCGAUCUCCUGACCUCGUGAUCCACCCACCUUGGCCUCCCAGAGUGCUGGGAUUACAGGCGUGAGCCACCGCGCCCAGCCCAGAAAUUUUCUAUAAUGGAAAGUUAAAAAGUCUAUAUGCUGUUGACCCUUAAUCAUUUGUCUGCAGCCCAAACUCUCUUCUGAACUGUAGACCUGUGUCUCCAUCUGCCUGUUUAGUAUUUCAGCUUUGAUAUUAACAGAUAUUUCACUAAACGUGUCCAAAAUGGAACUCCUGGUUUCCCUCCCCAAUAUGUUCUUCCUGCAGUCUCCCCAUCCCAUUUAUGGGAAUGCUGUUCUUCCAGUUGCUUAUCGAAAACACCUCUGGUCAUGCUUGAUUUCCCUCUUUCUCAUCUGUCCUUCAUCCAGUUCAUCAGUAAGUCUUGUUGACUCUACCUGUAAAAUAUAUCCAAAAUUUCAUCUAUCAGAACUACUUCCGCUGCCACCACCUUGGUCCAAGCCACCAUCCUCUCUCAUCUGCUUCUUUAUUGCCCCUUAGAGGCUGUAGUCCUCCCCGCAGCGAAAACAAUCCGUGAAAUGUUAAGUCACAUCAUGCUCUGCUGUGCCCAAACCCUGCAGUGGCUUUUCUUCUCUCUCAGUAAAAGCAAUCACCCUUACUGUGGUCCAUAAGACCUCAUAGCUUAUCUCAUCACUGCCCAAUAGAAAUAUAAUGUAAGCUACACAUGAGGGUCACGUAGGUAAUUUAAAAGUUUUUGAUAAAGGAAAAAUGAAUGGAAAAUGAACCACUCGAAGUUAAUUUUGAUAAUGUAUUUUAUUUAGCCCAGUAUGUUAACAGUAUUUUCACUUCUGAGAUAUGUUACGUUGCUUUUGUUUUGUUUGUUUGUUGUACUAAGUAAUAGUCAAAGCACAUCUCCAUGUGAACUAGUUGCAUUUCAUGUACUCCAUAGCCUUACAUGGCUAGUGGCUGCCAUCUUGCACAAUACAGGUCCAUACGACCUUACCCGGCUUUAUUACGUUACUUCUGUAUCUAUCUCCUGUUACUGUUUUCAACUUGCACUUCGCUCCAGCAUCACUGGCCUCCUGCUGUUAUUUAGGUAUACUAGGCAUUUCCUGUUUUAGGGCCUUUGUACCUCCAGUUCCCUCUGUUUGGAAUGCUUUUCCCCAGAUAGCCCUGUGGUUAAAUCUCUUACUUCCUUUGGGUCUGUGCUCAGAUGUUACUUUCUCAGAGGGUCCCCCAAGCCCCCAGCAUUCUCUAGCCUUCCUUGCAUCCCUUUCAUGUAGUGUUUUUUUCACCAGUUGGCAUACUAUUUAUUUAUAUUAGUAUAUUUUCUCUCUCUCCCCACUGGAAUAUGUGCUCCAUGAGAGAAGGGAUUUUUGUGAGUUUUGUCCCCUGCUAUAUCUCAGAGCAUGGAAUAGUGCCUGACAUGUGUAUAUAAGAGAUGGAUAUUUGUUGAAGAAUUAAGUGAAAUUAUCUAUUAAGAAUGAUUCUUUUUCACUAAGAACAUUGCAAUUGAGCAUAAUUUAUUAUUUCAGAAUAGCUUGGUGUCAUUUGCAGCUAGAAGUUCUGUUUUGAGUCAGGAUAUUUCAAAAGAGACCUCACAAUGAUAUGCAGAUGCCCAUGGCAGAAAUUCAUCCUGGAUUAUACUUACGAAAUCUUGAUAACUUGUUUUUUAGUCACAUCCACUGUUUUCUGCAAAGGUUUUUGUUGAAAUCCAGCUAAUAUAUUUCAGUCAGUCUUGAUAUCAAUCAGUUGUUCUUACAAACUCAUUGCAAAAUUUAAUACUUUUAUAUGUUGAAUUUAAUAAAUGGGUUCAAGACCCCUGAAAUACUUCAUUUUGGGAGAUUUUAAAACAAGUUUUGAUGUUCUGUUUUGAGUGUGUGCAGAUAAGGAGAUUUUAGAGAUGACAUCCUUACAUUGAAAUUGGCAACAUUAUCACAUAAUGGUAGAAAUGAUUUCCAAGUGCCUGUUUUAAAAGAACAAUGGCUUUCUUACCCAUUAAAAAAAAUUCUACUUUCACCAUAAAGAUACAGAGUAUUUAUUUGUUUGUUUAAAAAUACCCAUUAAGUAGCAUUCUACUUACUGGCACUCAUUACAGAAGAGGUCAGCACAUUUUAGAACUCUUGUUUUCUGGUUUAAAAAAAGUAUAAUUCCUCUUUUUUUUUUUUUUUUUUUGAGACAGAGUUUUACUCUGUUGCACAGGCUAGAGUGCAGUGGCACAAUCAUAGCUCACUGCAGCCUCCAACUCCUGGGCUCAAGCAAUCCUCAGCCACCCUGGUAGUGAGAACUACAAAUGUGCUCCAUGAUGCCCGGCUGAUUUUUAAAUUUUUGUGGAGACGGGGGUCUUGCUGUGUUUCUCAGGCUGGUCUUGAACUCCUGGUCUCAAGAGAUCCUUCUGUUUUGGGCCUCCCAAAGCACUGGGACUACAGGUGUGAGUCACCGUACCUGGCCUGAUUCUUCUCUAAGCUGAGCAACUCUUAGAUAUUUUUACCACGAGAUAAUUAGUGACAAUGUGGUCAGAUGACGUUCGGGUCUCACCGUCUUAUUACAAAGGACUGUUGUUUAUUGUAUUGAAGAUGGUGUCUCUAACUUUGCUUCACUGGGCAGAUGUAAACUGUACUAAAUCAACAGGCAACUGGGGGUGUCACUGUCUACCCUUCUGCAUCUGGAUCUCCUACUCAGACACAAGGAUUCCUCUGGUACCUUAAAUACAGCAACCACCCAACACACAAAUUGAAGGAGUGUGUCAGUGUCAAUUCCCGUAUUAAAUAAUAGUAAAAUUUAAUUUUUUGUAUUUUGGUAAAGUAUAAACAUUGUAAUAUUUUCUUCUUCAUCCUAGUGGAUCUGCUUAUACAUGCCACAUUAGAGAUGAUUGCUCUGAUUGUUUCUUCUAUAGUAACCUUGCUUCCCUAACAACCUUUGAUUGACAUAAAGGUUGAGUCUUGUCUUUUCUGUUGUUUAUAGUACCUGACAGUGCUGUGUUUCACUAAUAUUUGUUGACUGAAUAGUGCUGAGGAGUGUCCUGUUCUCUGACCUCAGUACCAUAAGGUCAUAUUUCUUGGACAACAAAGUCCAGUAGCAGAUUUCUUUGGUGGCUGCUAGAGCCAUUUCAUUAACAGUAUUGAAAGCUUUUGUGAUAUUAGAGAAACAGCUCUGUGGUCCUGUUACUGUUGGCUGUGCAUCCUUCUGCAUCUGACAGGUAGAAAGGGAUGGUGGCAGCUCUAGUCACUGCCAUGUUGUGAUUUAGGAAGUAGAUGGUUGUGUUCAGAUGCUCUGGAAAUGAGCUGGCAGAGAUUGCUAGAAGAGAUGGCUGUGGUAUCUAGAGCAGCCAGCUCUCUUCUUCAUGAGAGGGGUAUAUGUCUUUGAUGCAUUGUUUGAUGUCUUCCAUCAGUUUACAUGCUGAAAGUAUUGGUGCAGAUAUCUGAGAUGUAUGCUUCUCCUCCACCUGGAUAGUCCAGGAGGUAGGUCAGCCAGACACAUCUACUUGGGCGUUGUUUUUCUAACUUCCCUGACUGCAUGCACAAUUUGAAAGAUCAGCAGCUGGAAUGAGAACUGCAGGCUGUGGCUGAGGAACAGAGGCCCCAUGCUCUCUUUGCUGCAACAGAGACAUCUCCCAAGGUCCCCUGGACCCUGUGUUGCUGAGUCAGGCUUGCCCUGGUAUGCUAGUCUUGCUGCUUGGACCACUGGUGAGCCCAUCAGCAUUCAUGGAUUGAUGUGCAUUUACUUAGGAUGGCCUCUGUGAAAGAUUCUGUGUCUGUUUCUCUUUUUGGAUGGAGUGGGGUGGGGAUGGAGAAGGAAUAAGUGAGGUAGACAGAUACCUUCACCUAAAAUAGUGUGUAAAUGUGACACAAAUGAAGUGUAAGAAACUGUUGUAUUAGCCUUAAAUGGGGUUGGGAGCUGGAGGAUGUCUCUGGAAACACAAGGAAGAUCUCAUCCAUCUUGUUUAUGGCUGUAUCCUCAGAGCCUAGCAUGAUGCUUGGCCCCAUCAAGUGCUCAGUAAAUAGGUGUUUGUUAAUAAGUAAGUGUUCAAGGAUGAGAGGACUUCACCUGAAAGUUCAUGCCAGACCACCACAAAACUGAAGGAGGAAAUGGCUUGUUGGCAGAAGGAGGUUGGGAUGUUCAGAGAGAGUGUAAGUGGCAGAGGAAGGGCUGUGUAUUGGAGAGGUAGAGGCAGUCUUGGGAGGCCCUCGAUUAACUUUCUAAGAAUUUGGUUUUGGUGGCUCUUAACUUAUUUUCCUGCCAGUUCAUAUUAGAAGUUGCAUGGAAGCUAUAGUCUCUCCAGGAGAAAAAAAUAAUAAAAGCCCCAAUUUGGCAUACACCGUCAGAGGAUUCACAGAUCCCAAGUUAUAAAAACCUGUUAUAGGGGCCAGGUGCGGCGGCUCACACCUGUAAUCCCAGCACUUUGGGAGGCCAAAAUGGGUGGAUCACCUGAGGUCAGGAGUUCAAGACCAGCCUGGCCAACAUGGUGAAACUCUGUCUCUACUAAAAAUACAAAAUUAGCUGGAUGCGGUGGCGUGUGCCUGUAAUCCCAGCUACUCGGGAGGCUGAGGCAGGAGAAUUGCUUAAACCCAGGAGGCGGAGGUUGCAGUGAGCGGAGAUUGCACCAUUGCACUCUAGCCUGGGCAAAAAAGAGCGAAACUACAUCUCAAAAACAAAACAACAACAACAACAACAACAAAAACAAAAAAAAUCCUGCUAUAGGCUGGUGAGCCGUCAAAUGCUCACUGCGCUCUUAUGGUGGUGAUAAGAUGCUUUUUCUCCUGGAGUCUUUGGGACUUGCCCAAAUGCACUGAGUGGACAUUCUGGGUUUGGAGGGCGCUGAUAAGCAGCAAGCAUGACAGUGGUUCCGAGGAGCUUGGGAAAGCAGUGGGGAAUGGGAGUCUGCACACUGACACAAAUGGAGAGAUCCAGCGUUUGCUCCACUUAGCAGGGGACAAAAAUACCUGUUCUAUUACUUGGAAAAAAUAAAAAAAAAAUAACCUUUACAACUUACUGAUUCAAAAUAUUGAAUGCUUAUGCUAAGUUUUUUUCUGUAACAUGAUUUCCAACUUAGAUACCCACCCAGGCCAUAAUGAUGGAUUCAGAGAGGCAGCAUGUUACAUUUGUGGGAAUGGUGAGUGUGGAAAGGAGUCAUUAGAGUUUUAUAUUACCAUGGCAUAGGGUUUGUAGAAUUCCUUAGCUGUCCUCAUCCAUCAGGGAGGGCUGUCUGGAGGAGGAGGUAUUUCGCAGGCCUCUUGGAAAAGCAGGAAGACUGGGCUGAGGGAGGUUUAAGGUUGGAUUGUUUUUUUUUCCUGACAUUAAAAAGAUUCCCAUAAAAUGUGUAUCUGUACCAUCAGUUAAAAAAACAAAAACAGGCCGGGCAUGGUGGCUCAUGCCUGUAAUCCCAGCACUUUGGGAGGCUGAGGCGGACGGAUCACGAAGUCAAGAGAUCAAGACCGUCUUGGCCAACAUAGUGAAGCCCCGUCUCUACUAAAAAACAUAAAAAUAAAAAAAUUAGCAGAGCGUGCCUGUAGUCCCAGCUACUUGGGAGGCUGAGGCAGGAGAAUCACUUGAACCUGGGAGGCGGAGGUUGCAGUGAGCCAAGAUCGCGCCACUGCACUCCAGCCUAGGUGACAGAGCGAGACUCCAUCUCAAAAAAAAAAAAAAAAAAAAAAAAAGAUGAAAAACUUCCCAUCCUCCAGGCUUUUGUAGCACAUCUGAUAUAUAGAUAGGCUGUUUGGAGGGGAAAAAAGCCAAUGUGGGCAGCACAGUGCUGGCAUUUCUGCCUUUGUGUGUUAUAGGUAAAUUCCUUUAGUGGAGGGUGAGGUUGAGGGGUGGUGAGGCAAUGCUUGAUCCCAGUGAAUGAUGGUGACAAUCAGCCCUGCACUGGCUUGUGCUUAGGUGCUAGGCCAGUACCAGGAGGCAUCACUGCGGGUGUGGGGGGAGCUCCUGCACCUUGAGAGAGGUGGGGCAGACUGGGGCUCUCUGAGGCAGCCACGGCUUAUGCAUAUUGCAGAGAAAGGACUGGGCAACUGAGGUUCCAAUUUUCUCACCUCACUCAUUGGCUUAGCAGGAAUUUUCUUUGUAGGGAGGUUAGUCUGUGAGGGAAUUUUAAAAGUUCUUUCAAGGAGAAGAGCCUCUUCCAUUUCCUGCAGAGUAAUGUUCAAACUGCAGGUCCAGAGGCCAUAAUGGGUGAGAUCAAUUUAGCGGGUUGAGACCAGCCUUUAAAAUAUAUAUAGAAUAGAAAAUAUUAGAUUGCGUAGUACGUAGUAAAGAUGAGUAUUAUUUCAUGAAACUUUGUUUCAGUUAUAUAUAUAGAGAGAGUGAUACAUAUAGAUAAGUGCACAUAUAUGCCUGUGUUGGGCUACUGCAUAACAUUGAUUUCCUACUAUGAAUCAGGGUCCAGAAAAUUUGAGAAACAUUGUCCUGGAAGGAUUUCUCUGCUCUUAGUGUAGACAGUGGGUUCCAGCCACUUCCCCAGAGGCCAUCUCUAUGGAGACAGAUGUGGUGAGAGGGCUCUUUUUAAAGAGCAGCCAGAGUCAGCUUCUGACAGCAUGAUCCUAGGCUUGUCUGCAGCUGUUCACCCAUGCCUGGUGUUUCCUGCUGCGGAGGAGCUAGGGAGAAAGAUCAGGAAAACCUCAGCCAGGUUUAGGAGCAAAGGUCACCUUCCCUGUCUUCUCACCAGGGUAUGAUUCCCUAGAAUGCAGCAGCAUAUCCAGCCCCUUCCCUCUUCUCUUGGUUCCUGGCUUUAUUAACUGUCUCUUCGCUUUAAAAAAAUUUUAUCUUUUAGCAGCAAAUUUCCUUCUUCCCCACAUACCAAAGCCAUAGCAGGAAGAGGAAGGCCAUCCCGACUGUGGUUUUGUCCUUAUAUUCUCUGUUUCUCAGGUUCGUUGCCUAGGGAGGGUGGAGUCCCGGCGAUCUGGGGGCAGGGUGGGGGUAGGAUUCGUGGUGCAUCAGAAUGAACUUCCUGUCACCUCAGUGAUUCCACUUAGAUCUGUGAUUCUCUGGCUCCAUCUUUCCCCCCGAAGAAGAAGAGCCUUUCUUGGGUCAUAGUUGCCUCUCCUUCCACCAGCUGCACUGACCGACCUGCAGAGUGUUGACCCACUUGUCGUACCUCAAAUAGAGGUUUAAAUUAGGACCUUUAAUCUGUAAGAGGCUUACAGCUUGUUGGGUGGCCAGCUGCUCUGGACUCCCUUGUGGGCAGAGCUGGGUUUUUCCUGGCUCUUUUGGGGUUUAGGGAAUCAUGGGGGUCAGUGGCUUUCUGGCAGGAGCCACAGGCUCUGGGACUAGGUGGGUGGGAUCUCUUAUGAUGGAGUUGGGUGGUGGUGUGUCCUUGUAAUGAUGGAAUGGGGAGCUGGGCCAGCAACUUGGGUGCUGGGCCUGCUUCUCUUGGACACUGAGCCUGGAUUCUUGCUGAUGUGCAGUUAGCUUUGCUGGCUCAACAUGUGUUUUCAUUUCACAGAUAUUCAUUAAUCCAGAGUUGUGUGCCCAGCAUGGUGCUAGGUGUCAUAGGGAACACACAGAAGCAUGAGAAUCAGGCCCUCCUCCCAAGUUGCUUAUUUGUAGCCUCCUUUUGAGGCUACAAGGCUAGUCCAUAUCAAAGCAUUCAUUCAUCCUGUAGACCGAUAGGUAUGGAGGGGAAGUAUUAUUGGAGAGACCUCAGGGUUUUCUCACCUGAGAAGGGAGAGAGCCCUGGGGUGGUCAGAGCUGGGCCCUGAGUGGUGGGAUUUAGAAAGAAGGGAAGAGGGGAGGGCUUGGAAGAUAGGAGAAACAGCAUGAACAGCAGCAGGGGGAAUGGGUGAGUGUCCUCCUGAAAGGACUGUGGAGAUGGCCGUGGAGCCUCUUCUUGCCCACUUCCUGAGAUGGUCAUGGCUUAGUGCUAGAGACUUUUAUUCCUUGGGCAAUGUAGACCCAGCUCUAUGGGUUCCCUGUUUUUUCCUUCUCUUCCUCCUCAUUAUAACAGAUAAUAAUAAUGAUUCCUAGCUUUCAGGGAACACAUCUUGUAUACCAUGUUCUGUGUGCUUUACAUGGAUUGUCUCAUUACAGCUUCACAACAACCUUAGAGAUAGAUGUUCUGUAUCAUUAUGUGCACCUUACAGUUGGUGCAGCUGAGGCGUAGAGAGGUUAAAUAACUUGCCCUUGGUGGGUGACAUAGCAAGGCAGUAGUUGGGUGAGGAGUCUACCAGGGCAGCCUGAAAGGCGGAACUCAGUGACAGCAGCAGGGCAUGCUGUUAACCCACUGCUUCCCACUCGUCUGAAUAUUAGAAUCACCUUGGAAUCUUUCAGAAUUUCCAAAUCCCAGGUCGAUUACAUCAGAGUCUCUUGGGGUGCUGGGACACAGGCAUCAGUUUUUGAGGCUUCCCAGGUGAUUCCAAUGUGCACCCAGGUUUAAGGACCACUCCCUUAACCUUCUCUGUUUUACAGCCUCUGAAUAUUUGACUGAAUACAUUUUUUAUCUCCAAGAUUCUCCAAAGCACUGCAGAGGGGCCUUCCUCCAGUCCUACCCUGAGGAUGUCUGUCUGUCCACCCACCAUGCCAUAUAGUAUCUGAGGGAGUAGGACCCCUGCCACCCCACAGCAUCUGUGACCCCCAAAGAGUGAAACCUAGGUGGUGUGGGGUGAUCUUCCUGGGAUCAGUGGCCCUUCUCACUCUGCAUGCCACCUAGAGGGCAGAGCCUGCUUCAGAGCCCUGGAGACCUCCAACUGGUUUCUCACAUCUUCUGCUCCCUGGGGCCCCUGACUUCAGCGGGGAAGGGAGAGGGUCACAUGAGGGCAGAUCUCUUCUGGACAAGUCCCAUUCCUCUCUGUCUGUCCCUGACUGAACCUGAAAUGGACACGAAGAGCAGAGUCGUUUGGGUGGCUGGGAACAGCACUAAAUUUAGCAAAACUGUAGCUGGUGGGGGGCCGGCCCAGAGUGAGCCAAACCCAGCCCUGAGUGGACUAGAUUUACAGUCAGUAACACAGUCAGCAUCAUCUCUGCUUGGGAAAGUGUGUGGUUACACAGGAUCUUCCGUUUUCCAAAGCCCAGAAGCUUGUCAGCCUGUCCCACAGGCCUCCCUGACUCUGUCCCUUGAAGACUUGGCUCCACCCCCACCACUGAUGCUGUCCCUUGGACUUAGUCUUCCAUCCAUCUGUCUGUCUCUCCCUUGUGUGUCUGGAAUUUCCACUUCAGUACCUUCACCUUCUUUUAUGCCUCUUAGCCAAUGCUGCCAACCUUGACUCCCAAGGCCCUGGAGGGCAAGACCCUAGCAUUGGUAGAUUUUCUUUAGGGCAUCUGGCACCAAGGACACCUUUCAGUCAAGGUGGACAAGUGGAGGAAAGCCAGGAGCUGGGAUGGUUAGUCGAACAAGUGUUGAGGGACUGAGAUGUACUUUCCCUCCUCCCAGAAACUUAGCCACGUAGAUGGUAUUUGUAUACCCAACAACUGAAGUGAAUUAUGAUGGGGACACAGUGGCUGUGAGACUCUUGGACAGUUGGGAGUUUCUCUUUGGUUGGCUGAGUCUCUGCCCUGGUGUCGAUGUAUCUUGGAAGAGGUGGGUUUUGUGGGAUUAAAGAGUGGAGGUCUGUGGGUGACAGGACAUCUUCCCCUGCUGGCUCCCUCUCCCACUCCUCAGAUCUGAUGGUGGUGACUUGUCUGGAGGAGCUUCUGUUUUCUUAAUGCCCUGGGAGAUAAUGACCAGGCUAAAUUUACUCAACUCUUUACAAAGUGGAUGAUUACACUGAGAGGCCAGGACUGGGAUCAUGCCUAUGGGAGUGAAGGCUUCAGGGCUCUGGCAGCCACUGGAAAUUUAAGCCUUGGAUUUUGCUGAUUGGGAACUGUGUCAUCUCCUUGGUCUUCUUGGUUUUCACUCCCUUCACCCAGGACUAGGAUCAAACAUGAUUUGUUAGUGUAGGGCAGUGGGUCUCAACCAGGGGCAAUUCUGUACUCCCUAGCUCUGGCUCCCAGGGGACAGUUGGCAAUGUCCAGAGACAUUUUUUGGUUGUCAUAACUGGGCUGCAGGAAGGGUGUUACUGGCAUCUGGUGUGUAGAAAACAGGUAUCCUGCUGAAUAUUAUACAAUGCACAGAACAACUGUCCCUACAACAGAGUUGUUGGUCCAAAAUAUCAAUCGUGCUGGGGUUGAGAAACCUUGGUAUAGGGGGACAGUUUUGCAGAAAUGGCCAUGAAAUGGCCAAUGUAGAAAUGAAAUGGUCGUUUCAUCCAGCUCUCUGCAUCUGUUGGAAAUAACUUGAAACCAGGAACUAUUGAGUCAUUGCCUUCUUCGUUCGUCCACUGCUCCCCUCUCUCCUCAGUAUUUAUGGGGAACCUUGGUAGUGAAAUACUUCGGCAUCUAACAAUAUUGCCUUCAGGAAGUUGUUUCCAAGCCAUCGCUAAAGCUCCUGUGGUCCAGUUUCCCAUAGAAUCCCCCUGUAAGCACACACGUAUCCCAGGUCAUGCGGGUGGCUUUGUGCAGCUGUGUCUCUGGUGCACCUAAAUAAGCCUAUGAUUUAGGUGUUGGUACCUUUAAGAUGAACUUUAAGGGCAACCAGGAAGCCAUUCCAAGGAGGCUUCAUGUGGGAAUGAUCAGAGUCUAGCCUGGAGCUGUUUUCCUUCUCUUUCUCUCUGUAGCUAAAGUUUGUUCUGCCUUGCAGAACUGAGUUCUGCUUGCUAAAGUUCUCUUAAACUCAGGAAACACAUACUCAUUGCCGUGGAGAACAUGAUGUUAUUUCCCAGGUGAAAGACUCAACCUGUGGCCAGAUGCCUGAACAGCCUGGUGCAUCUCUCAUCUGCCAGCACCGUUCUUCUGCAGUUGGCAGGGCUGCUUUAAGGCCAGAACAGGGAAAUGAGAAGUCUCCCAAAGUGAGGACCUUUGCUUGCUCUAGAUAGUGAAGGGAGGGUCACUGUGUGUGAAUUCUAGAAUGUGCUGACUUUUAAAAAUUCACGACAAGUUUCAAGGUUCUCUCCAUGUGACCCCACUACCUGGACUCUCUAAUCGUCAUGUCAGAGGGUGAAGGUGUGAGUGACACUUUAUGAUUUGGGGAAAGAAGAGGUGGUGGGAGUGGUGAGAGAGGAGAUUGGCAGGGAGAGGGAUAGAUAUUCUCAUUGGGUGCAUUUGACAUCCUUGCCUCCAGUUUGCGUCUCAGUGUUGUUCCCCUGGCCACAAAACUUAUUCAAAGUCCCUGUUUUUGAGGAGGCAAAUACAUACAUAUAUAUAUAUAUAUAUAUAUAUUUUUUUUUUUUUUUUGAUAAGCCCAAACCAGACAGUUUAGGAAGGUCAUUCUACUUAGGAGGAGAGUAAAUAACAUUUUACAAAUGACUUUGGAGUUGCCUGGGUUUUUUUCUUUUUAAAAGUCUCCCUUUGCUAGUGGAAGUCACUGGGGAAUGGAUGAUAUGGCAAGUGCUUGCUGUUCUUGGAGUUCGGGUUCACUACUCCCCUUCUCAUGCAAGGGACUGAGAUGGUACUGGUGGGCUCAGGAGCCAGGUUCUAGAUUACUGCUGUCUUAGCUGGCAACUAGGGCAGUCGAAACCAAAAGCCUCAGAAGUCCUGUUCAAUGAGGGUAAAUAUUUGAAUGGAUUGAACAGAUGAGUGUGUGUAUAUUUAGAAACUCACACCCAGUAGAGAAAGAACCUCUGGGUAAGCCCGGCUUGCUCAUCCCUGCUGCAGGUCAGAGCACACCCAAGGUUACAUCCUCUUAUUCCAUGAUCGGCUGAAGUCACUUCCUUAUGUACCCAAGGCUGCCCACGCCCAGCCACUGUUUCCUGAGCCGGGUCAGGAAGUGCAGAUCACUCCUCUCAUAACCUCCUGGUAGCUUAUAGUCAUCAUCCAGCAGCAUUCUGGAUUCUUUUGCCUGUGUCUGAGUCUCCACACUUCAGCUGCCAUCUUGCCCCCAGAUCCUGAGCUUGUCUUUGAGUCCGUAGCUUCAGCUUGGACUUCCUGGCUUCCAGGCCCAGAGUUACUUCAGGGCUCUGGCAGCCACUGGAAAUUUAAGCCUUGAAUUUUGCUGAUUGGGAAUUGUCUCGUCUCCUCCAUCUUCUUGGUUUUCACUCCCUUCACCCCUGGCCCAACCACUUCUGUCUCAUUAAAAAUCUUGUUUCUUAUAAAAGUUACUUUAUAUUUCAGCAUGCAUUUAUAAAACCCGAAGACAUUUUCAGACGGGGUCUCACAGAACAUAAAGCUUGACAAAUGAAUUUGGAGUUUUGAAAACAUGUUUAUUUUUUAUGGUAUUGAAGCUUUGUAGAGUAACAUUUCUGCCAUUUAUUAAAAUGCAAUAGGAAAAUGCUCAGAAAUAUGUGUGUCCUUCAGAUUUUGUGAGCAGAGAGUGUAGACACUAAAAUUCAUUGGUGUUGGGGAAACAACCCAUUGGAUAAAAGUCCAUUUUCUCCUAGAUUUUUUCUUGUUAGCGUUUUUUUUUUAUUAGUCGUAUUAAUUUUUUUUUUUAAGAGACAGGGUCUUGCCCUGCUGCCCAGCCUGGAGUGCUAUGAUGCCGUUAUGGAGUGCCACUGCAGCCUCCGACUCCUGGGCUCAAGUGAUCCUCUUUCUUCAGCCUCCUGAGUAGCUGGGACUACAGGCACACGCCAUUGCACCUGGGUAGUUUUUUUUUUUUUUUUUAAAUAGAGACGGGAUCUCUCUAUAUUGCCCAGGCUGGUCUUGAACUCCUGGCCUCAAGCAAUCCUCCCACCCCGACCUCCCAGAGCACUGGGAUUACAGGUGAGAGCCACUGCACCUGGCCCUUUUUUAAAAAAUUAAUAUUGUUAUUGACGUAUAACAUGCAUGCACAAAAGUGAAUGAAUCAUAAGUGUUCGGCACAAAGCGUACAUAUCCUGUCACCAGUGCCCAGAUCAGGAAAAGAAACAGAACACUACCAAACCAAACCCCGCAGAAAAUACUUUGCAUUUUUUUCUAGUUACAAACCACCCUUCCAAGGGUAACCACUAUUUUGAAUGCUACAAUCACAGAUUGGUUUCACCUGCUCUUCAACUUCAUAUAAAUGAAAUCACACAGUAUGUUCUCUUUUGGAGUCUGGUUUCUUUCACUCAUCAUUUUGCUUGUGGCAUUCAUCCAUGUUCUGUGCCAUUGUAGUUUUCCAUUCUCAUGACUGUGUAGUAUUCCAUAUUAAUAGACCACAGUUUAUUAUUUGUAUACCAUUGAUGGAUAUUUGGGCUGUGUGCAGAUUUUGGCUAUUACAAACAGUGCUACUGUAAAUAUGAAUGUCUUGGUGAAUGGAUAUAUACACAUAUACAUACCUGAAUGUAUGUAUACAUACAUAUACAUACCUGAAUGUAUGUAUACAUACAUAUACAUACCUGAAUGUAUGUAUACAUACAUAUACAUACCUGAAUGUAUGUAUACAUACAUAUACAUACCUGAAUGUAUGUAUACAUACAUAUACAUACUUGUGUAUAUACAUAUAUAUUUCUGCUGGGUAUAAACUUAGAAGUGGAGUUGCUGGAUCAUAGUUUUAAUAGUAGUGCCAAAGCAGUCGUACCAGUUAUACUCACACUAGCAAAGUAGGCAAGUUCUGGUUGCUCCAAAUUUUUGCUAAUAUUUGAUAUUAUCUUCCUUUUUCAUUGUACUUAUUCUGGUGGGUAUGUAGUAAUAUUGUACUGUAGUCUGAAUGUGCGUUUUGAGGAUAGUGGCCAUUUGUGUAUCCUCUUUGCAAAAUGCCUCUUCAGAUCAUUUGCUUAUUUUUCUAUUGGGUUGCCUGUCUUAAUGGUUUGUAGGAAGCACUUUAUAUAUUGUUGGAUAUACGUAUUAUGAAGAUUUUCACUCCUCGGUAGCUUUGGGUAUCCAUUUCCUUAGUGAUAUUCCUAAGUUUAACCCAUGUGAAAAUAUUAGAAUUGUAUAUAGUGCUUUGCACAGGAAUAUAUUAUUCUUUGUUAGCUAUGUUGAAGUUGGGGCUACAUGCUAUCACUACUCAUCUACAAAGGUACUCUUGGGAUACUGGUUAUGCAGGCUGGAGCAGGGACUCUUGAAGUUUCUGGCAUAUUAAGUGCUGGCAUCUUUGGGGUUAUAUAAAAAUAAAAACUGCUAAUAUCCAAGUGUUUACUGUGUGCCAUAUAGUGUUCUAAGCACUUCACAUGGCCUAGCUCAUUUAUUCCUCAUAUAAGCUUAUCAGUUAAGUGCUAUUAUUAUUCCCAUUUUCGAGUGAGGAAACUGAGACUCAGAGAAAUCUUAUAAUUGCCCAGGGUCACACAACUGAGAUUCCAGUUGCAGAGGCCAUACUCUUAACCAUUGUACCACAUAGAAAGUUGCAUUUCCCUAAACUGCUGUUUUAUUAUAGUGCUGGAUUAGUGGCUGGCACAUAGUAAUUGCACAUGGUAAAUACCUGUUACAUGAAAGAAUUUGACAGUGGUAAGUUAACAUAGGUCUUCAUUAAGUGGGAAAAUUUGCCCUGGCAAUGGGAUAUGUUGACAUUGGAAGCAGUUGUGUUUCAUCCUCAUGUAUCUCUUACCUGGAGCAGUGCCUGUCUUGGAAUAAGUGUCAUAGUGAACAUUUUGGAGUGAAUGAAUCAAUCACAGGCAGAUUGCGGACCCUGUCGUAGCAGAUGGAUGAGCUCAGAGGACACUACAGGAACCAGGGCCAAGGCAGGGCCAUGGUCGGGGCCAUGGUCAUGGCCCAGGGAGAAUUCACAGUUUGGCUAGCAGCAUCCUGGUUGUACAGCCACAAGGCAGCCCAGUUUGUAGUAGCAGAAUAGGGUCCAGUGUCAGCAGGCGAGGCUGUCCCAGUUACAGGCAGUCAGGUCAGAAGAGGUCCCAGCAGGAGUGCAGGGCUGGCAGGAUUCAAGGUCAGGUAAUCCAAAGUCACAAGGUUACAAGCAGUAAAAGUUCAGGCUGGCUGGCGAGAGAGCCAAGGAGCUCCUGGAGGGAGCUGUCGCCCGGGCUGGGCUCCCCUCCUGAAUGAGGCCUUUCUUCUCAGGCUGCUCAGAGUGCCUGAGAGGAAUACACCAGACCUCAGGGCAGGCUGGGGAGGGUGAACCGGAGACUUAUCCUGGUACGGAGCCAGAAGGAGCCUUCAUGAAUGUCUUGUCAAACUCUUCAUUUGGUGAGUGAGGAAAUCAAAGUUUAAAUGAGAGGUUAUUGAGCAAGUGGUAGAGCCAACGCUGGAAUCAGGCCCUGUAGAGUUUUUCCCACUUCCUCGUCUUUUCUAUCAAAAAUGAAGAGGUGAUGGGAAUUGUGGUUCUCGGAAGGAGGAAGCACUGAGGUGCAAGCCUUAGAGAGGAAUGAUGGAGAGCACUUGGAUAUGGGGCAAAAGGAGGAAUUCCAGGAGGACUGCACAGGCCUGGAGACUGGCGGUACAGGUGAUGGGAAUUUGAAGGAAACUGCUUGGAUGAUGACUGAGAUACUGACUCUAGAAUAUAAAUUCCAUGAUGACAAAAUCUUUUUCAUUUUAAUUGAAGCAUAACAUACAGAAAAGUGCAUAGAAGGCAAGGACUUAACAUUUUUUUAUUGUGCUAAAAAAACACAUAGCAUAAAAUUCAUCAUCUUACCCAUUUGUAAUUGUACAAUUCAGUUGUAUUAAGUUCCUUCGUGGUGUUGUGCAACCCUCACCACCAUCUGUCUCCAGGACUCUAUUCAUCUUACGUAACUGAACUCUGUGCCCAUUCAACUGCCUUUUCUUCUCCCCACAGCCCCUGGCAACCACCAUUCUAUUUUCUGUCUUUAUGAAUUUGGCUACUCUUAAAACUGCAUGUAAGUGGAAUUAUAUAGUAUUUGUCUUUUUGGGACUGGUUUAUUCCACUUAGCAUAAUGUCCUCAAGGUUCAUCUGUGUUGUAGCAUGUGUCAGAAUUUCCUCCCUCUCAAGGAUGAAUAGUAUUCCACUGUAUUUUGUUCAUCGCUUCAUCCAUUGAUGAACCCUUGGGGUGAGGACUUUUACAUGGCUUGCUCACCAGUGACUAGAACAGAUCCUGGCUUUAAAAGUAACUCAACAGGUAAUAGUUGAAUGAAUUUUAGUUAUGUUGAACGGGAGGUGAUAGUGGGACACCCAAGUGGGCUGUCCAACAGGUAUUCCUGGAUGUCUCAGGACUAAAGGUUGGAAUCGCCUUCAUGGGUAGGGGGUAAAGACAGUGGUGUGAAGGUGCUCCCAGGGACGGGGUUGAACAAUAGGAGCAGGGGCCUGGGGCUAGCACAGGUGGGACCAGAGUCAUGACAGAUGCAGGAAAGGUGGUCUCAGGACAGUGGUACAGGCCAGAACACGAGAUCAGGGGAAAUGUACCCAGUACAGCCAGAGCCAUUAAGUGCUAGGCAGUAGGCAAGGCACUAGGACUAGCAACACGUGUGAGGCAGACGUAAAGAUUCAUCAGCACAAAUCAUUCUAAGGCCUCGUGGAAGUGGAAGUCUUGAACUUGAGUGUGGACUUGAAAUACAGUUGGACUCUGCACUAUGAAGAGGAGAGAGAAGGACACCACAAGUGAGAAAGCGUUGAGAAAAGGAGCUUGGUGGAAAGAAUGGGAGGGUACAGGGCACAAAAGGAGACCAGAAUGAUGAGGCAGUGGACUUGCGGGGGACGUGGGAGGCAGGGUCGGCACUUCUUUUAUUUCUUUCCCUUUAAAGUUGAUCAAGAGUUGGCAGUUGGGAAGCUUAAGUAAUCUACAUCUAAACACUACAUCUAAUGUAACUCCUACUUAAAAUUACUGGACACCAAAAAAUCCCCAGGCAAGCUUAUUGCCCUGUAUGUAUGGUAGAAUAUUGUAACAUGGACAGUGGUAGUUGUAAAGACCUGGUUGCAUGUGACAGAUGCACUUGCUCAAAUAUGAGUGUGGCGAUUUCUCAGUCACAUGCUGAAAAAUCAAGAGCCUCUAGUCAAUUUAACCAGUAUUCACUGGGCUGCAGCUGAGAGCCCUGCUUAACACUAGAUGCUGGGAUAGAAAGACAAAAAGGUGAGAUUAAGAAGUAAGAGUUAAGCCUGGGCUGUACCUAGACUUACCUGAGUUUUAGAGACCUUCCUUUCCACAGAUAUUGGGCUGAAAACUGAGAAAGUGGAUGCCUCGUCUGCUCCCAUCUUACUCUCUGCAGCUUCCUACACAACUGCUGGGCUCCCAAUGCUCUGCUCUGGGGCCAGGCAAAAGUCUGUACUCUCAUGCAUACGCACUUCUGAAAAAGCGGCUUGGUAACUUCUUAGGUACACCCACAAGGUUGGCCCCAGAUCUCAAGGAAAUCCUCAGAAAUGGUUUUGAAAGAUAAUAUCCAGCUAACUCCCCCAAAUUCAGGAUCCCUAGAAGCUAUUUAUCUUCUAGGGAUUGCCUAGAGUAUUCCUACAGGAUGUAAAUGAAGGAUGCAAGCACGUGGAGCAUGAGUAUUCUAUACAGGGAACCAGUCGGAUGCCACCCACCAGUGCCAGAACGAAGGCAGAGAGCAUGGGGUUGGAGAGGCCAGAGACCCUACGUGCUUCUGAAUAAUGGGGUGUCCCUGCCAGAGCUAGGAAGCGUGAGGUGUCACCCUACCAGCCUACAGCUCUGAGUGCUAAAAGGGAAUCCGGGACCCUGAAGGAAGCUUUGAGUCUCUGGGCUUGUGCCUGUCAGAUCUCUGACACCACUAUUUACCUAUGUUCCACAAUAGGUUACCUUAGCAUUCAGCUUAGUCUGGUCUUAGCAUCUAAGAGACAAGGUUUCAGGGAGCCUUAUGUAUAAGCAAUAAUGUAGUGAUGAUGCUAACUUUAUUAAGUGUUUAGUGUGUCCUAGGUGCUGUUCUGUUUUCUAUGUAUUCACUCAUUUAAACCUCACAGUAACUCUGAGAUAACUGUUAUAUUUGACAGAUGAGGAAACUGAGUCACAGAGAGCUAUAAUAUCUUUCCUGAGAUCACUCAGCUAGUAAUAAGCAGAGACAGAAAUUGCACCGGUCCUGCUCCAGAGUCUGCAUUCUUAGGGAAACAGCUCCAGUGGGAUGUGUAGGAGCCACCAGAGGCCAGAGCAGAGAGGUCAGCUGCUGACCAAUCACACUCCUAGAUCCAGUUUCUCCCUGUCAGAGCCAGCUGCCCCUGCUGCUUCAGAGAGGGGGCUGUGGCCCUGUUGUUUUACCUAGGUUUGCCAGGAGGAUUAUUAGCCUCUUCCUCGUGUCAAAACAAGCCAAGCAGGAAAAAAAACCAACAAGCAACUCAUGACUUGCAGCAGAAAAAACCCUGCGGUCUCUCCAGCAGGAGGGGAGACCUCAGCUGCAGGGGCCCGAAGGUCCCAGGUUACAACCUGGUCUUAGGCAUAUAUUGCUGAGAAGGGCCUUGAGGUCCCCUCGUUUCAGUCAGGAUGCUGAGGCCUGGCUCACCAUAAUGCCCAGUCUCCACAGCAGCCUGCCUUCUCUGCUCUCCUGCUACACCCCGGGAAAUUUAAUAGUGUCUCCCAGUCUGCUCAUGGGAAGCCCGGAGGCCUACAGUCUUUCCCCUAGUUCUGCUGUGAGCUAGCUCUGGGACCCUGGGCUACUCCAGUUUCCCAUAUGUAGGAGAACAAGCUUGAAUUUGAGCAGUAGUUUCCAAAUAAAUAAAUAAAUAAAUAAAUAUAUAUAUAUAUAUAUAUAUAUUUUUUUUUUUUUAUUGCAGUGGAACACUUUCUUCAAGCAAGGUAUUAAGGAUAGGUACAGAAUGUGGAACAGUUAAAAGCAGAAGUGUAUAUUUUCCAAAAAAUGGAAAAAGGGGAAACAACCUUAGGGCAGUCAGACUUCUCUAUGAAUUCCUCCCAGAGCCUGCAGGGUUCUGCUGCAUAUGCACUCCUGCCCCUUGGGUUGCCUUUGCUCCUUCAUUCUCAUGGAAGGCUUUACAUUCUUCAGAGCCUCCCUCAGCUUCCAUCUCCUUCGUGGAGCAUCUGCCUGCAGUGACUUCUGCCCCUUUCUGUUCCUGUUAUACAUAUUUAUUAGCUAUUUCAAUCAUUGGGCUCCCCUAUACUGCCUAGUGAUGGGCUUAAAAAAUUUAUAACACAUAUAAUAUUUACAUAUAUUGUGUAUAAAUUAGCAUAUACUUAUAUAUUUACAUAUAUGUGUAUGUAUGUAUAUGUAUGUAUACGCCACACAUGCAUACACACACAUCCUUUAAAGAGAGACCAUGUCUGUAUGUCCCCCAUUUCCUGGUACAUAAUAAAUCCCUAAUAAAGAUUUUUUUAAAAAAAUUUUUAUUUGCUCACAUGCUCUUGCUCAGACAAUACAAGUUUUUAAUCAUGGGGAUUAUCUUCCUUGUCCUCCCACAUAUUUUGCCAGGUCAGUACUCAGUAAAUAGUAGUGUUAGGUGAUUGUACAAUAUGGUUUAUUUUGUUCCCAGGAAGUCCUGGAUUUGAAUUUUAGUUCUGCCAUAUACUAGCUUUAUGUCUAUAGGAAAUAUACUUAAUUCUUCUUAUUUAUAAGGUAGAAAUGAUAAUGCAUCUAUUCCACAGGUAUUUAUUGGGUGCCUGCUAUAUUCCAGGCACCAUUCUAGGUACUGGGAAUUCUGUAGUUUAUAAAACAGGCAGAAGUUCUUGUCCUCAUGGAGCUUAUAUUCCAGCCAGUUUUCAGGAAGAGCAGCACAGUGUUGCUGGAACAAGAGGAGGAGGAAUGAAUCCCUUCUGCUUGGUCAGUGGUGGAACUGCAGCCUGGCUGGAGGCUGCCCCUGGUGGCCUCUGUGGGGCCCAGGGACUCCCUGGGUAGUAUAGAAUUUCUACUGUGAGAUGAAGAGAAAAGGCCCUUGGGUCGGACUGAAGGGACAGUGAGCUCCUCUGAGCCAUAUUGCUGUGCCUGACCCUGAAGCUGUACAAUAUCCCGAUGCCCACAGUGGGAAGGGGGAACAGCACUAGGUGGAGAUGCCCCUGUCUAGAGACUGGGUCACAGUGCCCCGUGCCCUCUUGCGAUGUGAAUGUGCCAGCAUCCUGCUCCUGUUCCCCCGUGGUAUAGUGAAGACUUGCCUGGCACGGACAUAGAGGCAUCCUGGGCUGUCAGGGAUGCAUGGAAUCUUCUAGCCAUGCCGACACAGCCAUGCAGGGACAGAAAGAAGAAACCAUUCCAAACACCUCAGAGGUCCCUUCCUCAGCUUGCGCUAGAGGCAGGACGGUGGAGCUGCUGAGCCCUUAAUAAUAUAGAAUUAAGUCCUCCGACUACGUGGCCUGGGGGAAAGAUAGAUGUUGAGUGGAUCUGCUGUGAAUUUGAGUUUCCAUCCCCUCACACUGUGACACUUGGCUGUUGCUCAUGUACGUCUCCCCUUCUGCUUGUCUCUUUCUUAGAAGGAGAGAGGGCAGCCUUGGGUGAUGUUUUGUUGUUGUUGUUGUUGUUGUUGUUUGAGACAGAGUCUCGCUCUGUCACCCAGGCUGGAGUACAGUGGCAUGAUGUAGGCUCGCUGCAACCUCUGCCUCCCGGGUUCAAGCGAUUCUCCUGCCUCAGCCUCCCAAGUAGCUGGGAUUACAGGCGCCCGCCACCAUGCCCAGCUAAUUUUUGUAUUUUUAGUAGAGACAGGGUUUCACCAUGUUGGUCAGGCUGGUCUUGAACUCCUGACCUCAGGUCAUCCGCCCACCUUGGCCUCCCAGAGUUCUGGGAUUUACCUCCUGCUUUAAGUACAUCUUCCAUCUAGGAAGCGUUAGCUUCCAGGAUGGCCUCUUGGGGAAAUAGAGAGAAGGUGCCUUGGCCAUGGCCAUCCUGGAUUUGGCUUCAUCCAUGGCUGUGGCCACCUCUGACUGCCCUGCUGGACCGCAGCACCCACUCCCAGAGAUGCUCACUCUCCGUCGAAGCCUAUCACUUACUUAGGGUGAUUCUGAGUAAGUUUUACUUGACCUUUGCUAUGCUUCAGUUUCCUCAUCUAUAAAAUGGGGCUGAUAAUAAUCAUACUUACCUGAUAGGGUUAUUUAAAGAAUGAAAGUGAGCAUGUAAAAGGCUGAAAAGAGGGUCUUGCUGAUAGGAAGUGCUCUGUAUCUGCUGUUCCUGUUAUUACUUUCACAUUGGCUUGUUUGAGUUGCCCUAUGACCACAAGCUCAUUGUGGGCAGGAUAUAUUUUAAGUAUUUCUGUAGUCUCAGUGCCCAGCCCAGUGCCUAGUACAUGGUAGGUAUUUAGAAAAUAUGUGUUGAAAUAGCUGUGACCUCUGGAUUUAGACUGAGCUGAGAGGGAGGACUCACCAUAUGCAGAAGCCCAUAGAAAAGAGGCAUAUGGAAGGGGCAGUGAGGCAGGAUCAGAAGGUACAGGACGUGGGAGGAUAGUGAAUCCUGAGGUUGAAGGGGUAGAUUGGAACCACAUGCCACAGGAUGCUGAGGCUAGGUGCUGGGGAGCCAUGAGCAGCUUUAGAGCAGGGGAGGCAUAUGAUGGUUCAGAAUUUCAGAGAAGAUACUGAUGGCAAUAUCUAGACAGGAUUGGAGAAGAGAGCCUGAAGCUAGCAGAGUGGCCAGUUGGGAGCCUGUUGGGAACACACAGCUGGGAGUCACAAGCUGCGUGGGCAGCAGCGUCCUAUCUGCUGUUCUCCCCCUCCCUCCUCAGCUCAGCGCCACAAGGAACCAGGCCAGCACGUUGUGACCUUCCCCCGUCCAGCCCUGACUGUUCCCAGCCCUGGUGCUUGUCUAUUUGCAUCCUACUCAUUCUGACACACCUUUCGUAGGUUGCCAGGUUACCGCAGCCCUGUGCUUUGUAAAUCCUUGUGCCUUAGCUUCUACACCACUUAAUUCCCCCCUCACUCUCCGCCCUCUGUAUGUGUGUGUGUUUAUUAUUUUUAUCUCGAAGUGGGAAUCAGGGAGGCUCCUGGAAGUAGGCCAUGCCCUUUUAUGUGGUCUUCUCACCAAGGACAUGCAUGUUCCCAAGCCCCGGGAGCAGAGACCCAGAGCCCUGGGAAGGAGUGGUGGUUGAUGCAGGAUGUGGAGAAAACACAGACCCCUGCCCUUGGGAGCCACAGCUGUGCUCAGGCUGGCACAGGGCACGGGCUGGCGGCCAUUUUAUUCGUGUCUAGAGACUGCAGCUCCGAGCCUUCUUCUGUCUUUCUUUUGAGUCCUGGAAUGUGUUCCUCAGGGGUGGACACUGCUUCCUUCUAGUUGCUGUGGUUGGGAGCUUGGCUUUGUCCUGUUAUUCUUGCCUACAGCUGUUUGUGAGGUACAGUGGCUGGGAUAUCAGGAAGUUGCUCCUAGUCAACCUGUAUUAAGUACCUACUACAUACAGUUUUGUAUCUCAUGUCCACUAUAAUAGGCACACAGAGAGUUAAGGAGAUGUUAUAGUCGCUGCCUGGACAGUGGAGAGUAAUAAAAAUCACGGCCAUUUAUUGGGUGUUUACUAUGUGUUGGGCAUCAUGCUAAGUACUUUGCAUACAUUAUCUUAUUUAAUCCCCACAGUAACCAUGUGUCACGCUUGUUAGUAGCACUGCUUUAGUGAUACAAGAUGAUGUUAAUUAACUUGCCUCAGGUCACACAGCCAGUGUGAGUCUUUGUGACUCCCACGCUCCCACUCUGAAUGCCAAUGCUGUGUUUUCUCUCAAUGGCUAGGUACCCAAAAGUCAGGAUUUAGCCUUUGGGAGUCCUGGGUUCAAUUUGUUGCUCUGCUGCUUAUUGGCUAAGUGAUCCUGGAUGAGUCUCCUAGCUUUCCUCAUGUUCUCCUCCGUAAAAUGGGAAUAAUUGCAUGUACUUCACUAGGCUUUGAUGGGGAAUGAAGUUAAUUUGUUACAAAAGCACUUUGUAAACUGGAAGGGGUUAACCAUACAUUUCACCUCAUUUCAAUGAGUCAGUAGUAAAAACUUGUUUAAAAAAUACUUAUGUACAAAAAAGUCACGUGUAUUGGGCCUUUUUUUUUUUCCCUAAGGAAACCUGGUUAGCCCCACCUUUUAUGCCAGAGAUGGUCAAGUAUGACAAUAGAGAGUAGUUCAUCUGCCAAGGACAGGCAUUAGGAGGAGGUCUCAUCAGAGGAGAAGGGAUGUCAUCCACAUGUACAGCACAGCGGUUAAGAGACAGGGCUCUGAGUCUAGUUACCAGCUGUGCCUCCUCGUAUAGGCUCCCCAGUUCCUAUCCGUGGAGUAGAGGUGAUAACAGUGCCAGCUUCGUCCCGCUGUCGUGGAAUGCUGAAUGAGCUUUGAGGCAGCACGGGGCCAACCACCAGGCCUGACAACGUGGCAGGUUUGUGGAAUGUGGAAGUUGAUGUUCGUGAUGAGGAGGAUGCUGCUUGGGCAGAUAAAAGGCAAGGGGCAUGCUAAUUGGGGGCCUUGGCCUUAUUUGAAGGAUCUCCCAGAGGGGGACAAGGAGAACAUAGAGGUCUGGUGGGACUGAGGGCAGCCUUGGGAGGAAGCCAGAGCCCUGUAAACGGGCUCUCAGCCAGAUGGAGAAUCUAGUUCUAUUCCUCAUCUCCCAAAGUGGGGGUCGGUGGUGGUCAGGGCCGUGGGGCCCAACAAGGGCUGCAGGGAGGUAGCCUCUGUCCCUGGUCCUUCUGCAGGCCCCAGGGAGAUGGCUGAGUCCUGGAGGUCAGCUGGCCAGCUUCCAUUCUGUGCCUGAGCAGGUUACCAAUCACCGGGAGGAGGGACGCAUUCCACGGUGAAGCUCAGCUUUAUCAUCUUGGCCAAGGAGCAAAGUUUACUCAGAAAGAGUUCCUGCCAUUUUUUAACUUGUUACUUGGUUCUGCAUAUGAGAGAGAAAAAGGAGAUGGGGGAGCCAAGUGUUGGGAUGGGUGUGGGAAGGAGGUUAAAUGUUGAGAUUGGCUUGCUGGGACACAUUUCUUAUACAAAGGUGAUACAUGACGACUCUGGGGAUAGCCUACAGGUAGGCAGGAAGUGGCCAGUCAGUUGUAUCUCAGCAUUGUAUGAUUCCAAAAAUGAGGGGUAAACUUGGUAUUUCGAAUGUUUAGAAGUAGGCCUCACGGAAGUUGUGCUGUGUUUCCUUCCUGUGUUCAUCGGCCUGUUUGCCCAGUGGAUGGUUACUGGACAUGGAUGUGCACCAUGUGGUGGCUUAAAGGGCUGUAAGACGCAGUCCAGGCCCACGAGAAGCUUCCUAGCAGUGAGGCUGUUUUAUAACUGUUCCCAAAUCAUGUUAGCUCUGGAAGCUAUUUCAGGAACGCCUUUGGUUAUGAACCGUAUCUUAUAUUUAAUUUUGAUUCUCUUUUCCCUCCUGUCCUGGAUUCAGUAGCAGCAUCCACACUGUGUGCCUGGCUGUGUCGUAGGUGUUGGAAGUACUUAGAAGAAUUAGGAGGUACUUGGUAAAAGCUUGUUAAUUAACUAAAGUGGGGACCUAGAACCAUCUCCAAAGAACUUUUGGUCUUCUCUUGUGCAGUCAAGACUCUUCAUGUCUCAAAAGGACCCUGAGCUUCUGUCUGGAGCGCAUCAGAAUCUGUGAAAUGCCUGGAUCUAGGCCAUAAAGUAGAGGGUUUGUCCCCCUCUUUUCCUUGGUUGCUGUAUGUUCUUAAUAACAGUAAGAGUUUUAGCCCACCGCAGGAGGCACUUGAAGGCAUGCAAAGCUCCACCUCUCCACCUACCUCCUAGGGCCCUGGGUGGCACUCCUCUGCUCCUUUCCUUUCUUCUUCUGUUACCGUAUCAGGUAAGGCCACUUUCUACUCUUAGUUGAAAUUUACAGUUGGUAGCCAUGGGGAACCAUUAGAGUCUCUGGUCUUUGAUUCCCUGGGAGAGGGUGGGUCUGACAGUGGCCUUCCCACCUGUGUGAUGAGGACAGCUGAUUUCUGUCUCCUUUGUUCUCAGCCUCACAUGGGGUCACAGGGAAAAGGAAAACACAUAAAAGAUCCCCAGGGCUCAGAUUUGGGGUUGCACUGUUUUUAGUCCAGAGCCAGCUGUCCUUGGCAUCCGUCAGGCAGAGGGGUGAGGUGAUUGCUGGUGUUUGUGACACUACAGGUUGAGUGUCCCUUUGAUAUUUGCUUGGGGACCCUUUCCAGAAGCUGCAGUUAGAAGAGCACAUUCUUGUUUGAUACAUUUAGAUCAAAGGAAGGAGAGAGUAGGAGAAACCUCAGAGGACCUGUGUGGGUGGGCAGGGAAGGGAUUCACAUCAAGUGAGCCCAUUUCCAGUGUGUUUGUUGGGGAUUUAGGGGUUGUCAUGUUGACAGGCCUAAUCUAGUCCAAUCAGGCAAUCAGCAAGUAUUGAUUGAGUGCUGCUAGAAGUAUCGCUUUGGCAAGAAUGAAAAAAGAAUUUUGAAGCUUGCCUGGACCCUUUCUUUGAAAAGUUCAGACUCUAAUUGGAGGCUACAGAUGAGCCACGUGUGACAUGAGACAUGACAGCCUAUUAUCUUGGCUCUAAAUUGUAACAAGGGGUUAAACUGUUGGCAUCUGGAGAAGGAAGAACAAUCAUGGCAAACGUGGGGCCUGCAGGAUUGCUGUCUAUCUCAUCUGGGAAAGAGUGAAGGAUACAGGUAGACAUAUUGCUUAGUCUAGUAGAGUCCAUGGGUCUCAGACUCUUGUCCAACAUCAAGAGUAUCAAAGCACCUUCUCCUUGCUGGAGUUUGGCCACGUGGAAAGAAUCUAUCCAGCUAACUCUCGAAAAAGGAGCAGGUGAGCAUUGGGAUUGAUUCCCAGCUAAGGGAAAUUGAGCAGAUUAAUGGAGAUAAUAUAUGUGAAAUGGCUUAGUGUGUGUCAUACAGAAAUAAUUCAACAAAGGCUUAUUGGCAGAUUCCUAAGCUCAAGACUGAGAGGGUCUGAAGAAGGCACAUAGCAAGGUUUUAAUUAUUGUGUGUAUGGGAGGGCUGGGUUGGGAGUUGAGGGGCAGGGGAAGAUUAAGCAAGACAGGGAGUGAGGACUCCUAAGGGAGGAAGAAGGUUCUCUGGGAGAUCAGAGCCGGCUGCCCUUUGGCCUUCUCAGGCCACUUUUGGAGGGCCGCUCCAGUUCCUGAUCUCAAUUAGGAGGGAAAAUGUCAAACUACUAGUUGAAGUACAGAGCAGAGCUGCUGGCACGUGAAGAGUGGUUAAAAACAUGAGACUGCGUGGCCCAGAGAGGUAGAGAUUUUGGUGAGAGGGGGUUUGCUAGGUACAGUAUUGUGUGCUUAAAGCACUGUCAGGUGAUGUGGGUGUCAGAGUUACCCUGUGGUACCUCAGGGGGCAGCCCUGGGGCCAGUGGGUAGCUGUGACAGGGAGGCAGACGUUGGUGUUGGGAGCUGGAUUCCUGUCUUGCUUUAUGGGCUGUGAAGGAUGUGAGGGAGAGAAGAUGGGUGACCCUGUCAGGUCUCCAGCUCCUUCCGUGGGCCCUGUAGUGUUUACACAUGAGCGAAUGUCCACCAUGCAGGGGUGCUAAUAAUGAAAACAGUAGCCAUAACUUUCCUUACUGAAUACUUGUUGGGUACCAGGCACUGUUGCUGAGUGCUUUACUCAAAUAGACUCUAAUCUUCACAGCAACACUGUGAAGAGGUAUGAUGAGCUUAUCAGCCCUACUUUAUAGAUGAGAGAAUUUAGGCAAGACAUGGAAUAACUCACCCAAGAUCCCACACCUUGGACUCUAACCCAAGGCGGAAUCUUCUUGUCUCAGUGGAAGGUGAGGCCAGAUGACAUUCAGGGUGUCUUACACCCCCAGGGUUCUAAGGCCCUGUCUUGUGGCUCAUCCUGGGCUAUUUGGAUGGGGUUGAGAGGGUCAUUGGGUUUGGGGCAGGAACAGUGGUUACGACUCUCGGGAUGACCUGACUGUGGAUGCUGGUGCUGCCCUCGAGGUCAGUGAUAGGGCUCCGUGAACAGGGUUCUCCCGCUGGCUGUUAGGAAAGGGCCUCUCUAGGGAAGUGGGCUGGGACAUCCCAGCUUAUCUCAGCAUCUCAGUUCCUCCUGUCUUCCUUCCUCUACCCUUAUGGUGAUUUAGGGCUCUCAGAAGCUCCAGUGGUAAUUUUUUCAUGUCAGCCUACCCAGAAACUUAUAUAUAUAUUUUUUGAGACAGAGUCUCGCUCUGUUACCCAGGCUGGAGUACAAUGGCACAAUCUUGGCUCACUGCAACCUCCACCUCCCAGGCUCAAGCGAUUCUCAUGACUCAACCUCCCAAGUAGCUGGGAUUACAGGCAUGUGCCACCAUGCUCAGAUAACUUUUGUAAUUUUAGUAGAGAUGGGGUUUCACCAUGUCAGCCAGGCUGGUCUUAAACUCCUGGCCUCAAGUGAUUUGCCCGCCUUGGCUUCUUUUGGCCUCCCAAAGUGCUGGAAUUACAGGCGUGAGCCACCGCACCUGGCCCCAGAAACUUCUUGAUUGUGUCAUGAGCGCACUCAGCCUGUAGAUCUCUCCUCAACCCCCACUAAGCUCUGCCUCCCAAGAAAGGCAUAGAGCAAGUGAUGUCCAAGUGCCUGGGCCUCCAGGGCCGGCAAGACUUGAGCUGUCUUGUUUGGGGGGCCAGGGUGGGAUUAAGGAGCCAGCUGUCCUCCUAGCAUCUUGCUUUCUUAGUUUACCAGCCUCUGCUGACCGAGGGAGUUCCUGCCAGCCAAGGGUGGAGCUCCUUAAAAAGUGCCUCGCGCUGUACCUGACACAUGGGCCCCAAACACAUUAUUUUUUUGGAAUAGAUCAAUGGCCGUUCUUUCUGUUGGACCCGCCUGCUUUCUAAAUAUUCACCCUGGCCUCUGAAGGUUUUGAAGUUUUCAGAGGGAGAGUGAUGGGGUACUCCUCUCACCUCCAAAGUAUGUGGCGUUGGAGAAAUCUUCUAAGUGUAAUCUUCUGUCUUUUAAGGCAGAGCUGUUGUUGCUGUGCUGCUUUUGGAGAAAGAACAUUGGCCUCGGAGGCCUAUGUCAAAUCCUAGCCUGAGAAUAAUGGCUGUCCAGUGGUCCCAGGGGGUUUCAGAGAGCUGAACCCUCUAAAAGAGUGUAAUUCCAACACCUACCUUCAGUAAAUAAAUCAACCACAGGACUGCCUCCCACCCCCAAAGAUUCUGGUCAACAUCCCCUCCCAGUGCAGAGGAAGUAUUCACAUCAUCAAAGGUUUUGUGGAACUUUACUUUUGGUAUGGUUUCACAUUAUGAAAACGUAUCCCAAAUAUUAACUGUUAUGUUUUAGACAGUCCCCAGCUCCUCUCCCACCCCUGAAUGAGAGUCUCGGCCCUGGAAGUUUUGUCCCUGCUCCUGGCAAAGCUGGCACUUUGCUGAAAGCUCGGACCUGCACCCAGGCCAUGCAUAAUGGCCCUGGUCUCUUUUCUCCUCUGUCCUAGGCUGCAGGUACGGACGUGCCCCUGCUUGGGGGAUAAGGCAGUAUGGAAAUGAAAGUUCAAGUCAGAAGUGUUUGGGGAAUCCCCUGCCCCACUUGUGUUUAUGAUUCCUGCUGUCUAGAUCUGACUCAGUUAAGUAGAGCAGAAGUUUGUUGUGAGGCAGGAAAGCGACUCCAUUUUUAAGUCACAUGGUGCUAAACCCAUGUGGUCACACAGAGGUCAGCACAGACCCAUAAAUCAUCAGAGGCCUAGGUUCUUCCUACCCUAGAGACAUCUCCUCCUGCCCACAAGAGCAGCAGCAGCGUCUGAGGGCACCAACCUGUGCCUGGAGGGAGUCUGGCCAAGACCCCUCAAUCCCGGCCAUGUCUGGCCUGGCACAGGCUACAGGUUCCGCUGUUGAGGAAUGGAGUAAUGUUCUCCUCAAGUCCCUCUCACAUGGCCCAACCACACUCUGUCUCUCUGGAAAUUAUUUCCAUCCAUUGGCAGGGCCAAGAUUUUGAGCAGCCAGCCAAGAGGCACAUUGGGUUACUCCCUCAGUCCCAAGAAGACUUUGUCCUCCUGUAUUUUAGGCAGCAGGAGCUGUGACCAGUGGUUAGCAGAGUGGCCACAUUCACUCAGCCCCAGCCCAUAGUCAGGAUAGCAGGUGCCAGUGCUAUUGCCAGUCUGGGUUUUGCUUAUGGCUGAGUUGUGAGCCCUCUGGGGUGGGAGCUUAGAUUUAAUGAUUAGCGGCCUAAGACAAGAUAGAUGUUUUGGCCUGUUUCACUUUCCCAAGAGGUGAUGGGAGCCAGCUUGGGCAGGACAUUUUGGAGCCUGGAUUUCUGGCCUGAGAGACAGACUGACUGUGUCUGUCCAGGAAAAAGCAUCUACUUACAAACAGAGCAUCCUAGUCACAAUAUCUGCUGUUGCAGGCCUGACCUUCCCCCAUGCAAACAUGCCCCUCUCUGUGCAGCCCUUGGGCGUAUUUCACACGGGAGUCCCUGUUGGUGCUGGGGUUCACUUCCAUUUGUGCUGUGAAUUCAGCACUCAACUUGGCCUUUGCUUGUCUUCCUUUACCCUGAGGGUCGGGGAGCCCUGUGUUCUUGGCCAGCGUCUGCCAGGUCACUCACUCUCUGCCGCCUGGCUCCGGCUCCCUGUCUGUGGCGGCAUUCUGAGUGUGUGUCUGCAUUUCACCUCUGCCAGAACCUACCCUCCAGCACAGGCUGUCCCCAGCCCUUGCCUCUCGGAUUUUCACUUGGCACCUGGCACUGCAUUGUGUCCUUGGAGUGUUCGUUGUCACUGCUGGGCCUUGUUUCGCUUCAGCUCAGUGACAUGGGUGGAAGUGUCAUGGUCUCUUGGGUUGGGGGAAAGCUCCUCAGUGGCUCUGGGGUAGUUCCUCCAGGAGACUGGCACAGUGUGGUCUUCAUGGCUGAGGUCUGACCACACCAUGAUCACUGCUGUUGGUCUGCAACUAUUAAUGGCACUGCUCCUUAGGAGCCUUUUCCCCAUGAAUGCCAUCAGACUUCUACUCUAUGAGUACCAUUUCUGUCCCCACCCCAACAUCGAGCACAUUCUCAUACUUUUUGUGAUUAUAUAUACUUAGAUUUCUGUAUUUUUGUUUCUUCUUGAAGUUGCUUGAUGUUAGAAAUUCAUCUCUUCCUUACCAGGUGUUGAACUAUCCCAGUAAUUUAGCUUUUACUUGGCUUCUGCAACCUUUUUUUCUCUAAGCUCCUUAUCUGUCUUGGGCCUACCACUUGAACACACUUGAUCUUGUCUACUUAUCUCGUCAAUAUGAAGCUAGGUAUGGUUGUGUCUGGUUAGUACUUGGAUGGAAGAUCUGAGAAUGCUAGGUAUUCUAAGUCUUUUGAGGUGUUGGUAGGCUUUUUCUUAUACCAAAUGCAAAAUCUUUAUGUCACCAUUGUUGUCAUUCUCAUCAUCAUAGUGAUAGCUGGGAUUAAUUGAGCACUUAUUCUGUGUUGGGCCUUGUGCUGCAUUACUUCUGUAUCUCACAUCCUCUCCAAGAAAAUCCCAAUGAAGUAUAGAUGAAGCUGAAACUAGAAACUUAGAAAGGUUAAGUAAGUUGUUCAAGUUUAUAUAAUUAGUCAAGAGGCUGCACUAGAAUUCAGAUUCAAAUCUAUCUCAUUUUAGAGUUAGAGUUUUUAACCACUAAAUGUAAUAUUUUUGUUUGGUAGUUAAGUACUCUAUAAAUGUUGGUUGAAUGGCAAGAUUGCUCUGACAGUCCAGCUGUUCUCCAUGGUGUCACUAAUGAUGAUGAUAGCACACAGCAUUUUUUGAAUGAAUGCUUGCAGUGGUAAGCUCUGUACUAAAAGAUAUGCAUUAGUUAACCCAUUUAAUCUUAUAGCUCAAUGAGGAAGAUUACCCCCAUUUUGCUGAUUAGGAAACUGAGGCCAGAAAGGCCAAGGUAACUUGCCCAAGGUGACACAGCUAAAUAGUAUUAGGGGAUUUGGAUGCAAGCUGUCUCCUAAACUGUGUGAGUCUGUACUCUUAAUCACUAUGUUGCUCUCCACAAAAAAAUAAGGCUGAUUUUUAUUUUUCUGUGCUUUUCUUCUUGCUGUCCCCUUCCUUAGCUAGUGAUGCUAUUUCUUUACCAGUUCUUGCUCAUCCUAUUCAUUCUCAGAAGCCCAGGCUGGAGUUCUCUUCUCAGACUAUGCAUGUCCACAUCAAGCUGGCUUCUCACAAUUGGCCCCUCAGUGUAUUUUCCUAAACCUUACUUGUAAACAUGUUAAAAUGACCAGAUUUACAAUUAGUGAUCUACACCGUAAUAGCAGACCUAUUUGUUUGUCUUAUUUCUACCAAAGAAAUGGAACAGGGAGCUCAGAAACAGACCUAUAUGUAUCUGGACACCUGAUUUAUGAUGAAGAAGGCACUGCUGGGCAGUGGGGAAUGGAUGGUUAUUUUAAUAAACAGUGCUGGUUCAACUGGAUAUCCACAGGAAAGAAAUGAAUCUUGAUCAUAUACAAAAAUAAAUUCCAAAGCGAUCAUCAAUCUAAAUGUGAAAAUUAAAACAAAACUUCAUCUACAAGAUAGCAUAGAAUAUCUUUAUAACUUUGGGGUAGCCAUACAUUUCUUAAAGAAGACACAGAAAGCACUAACUCUAAGGGAGAAGACUGAUAAGUUGGAUGUCAUUAAAAUGAGGAGCUUCUGAUUAUCAAAUGACAUCAAUAAAAGAGAGUGAAGCCAAGCAGAGAGGAGAAGAUAUACUCAGUACCUAUACCUGGCAAGUGGAUUCAUAUCCAGAAUAUAUAAAUAACUCCAACAAAUCCAUCAGUAAAAGAAACCCUUCCCCCUGGACAGAAAAAAGUUCCAUACUGAACAAUUGUGAGUUGUAUGCAGUUUUCUUCUCCCAGUGCAAGGUUCUAACCAGUAUGUCCUGGAUCACUGGCACAGCCUGGUGGCUGGCCUUGGGAACUGUCUGAUCUGGUGGCUCUUGGCAUUUUCUUUUGUGUAUGGACUGUGGGCCCUUCCUUUCCCAUGUGCUUCUUCACUUGCUAUUGGUUUGGCCACAAGAGGCUCCUGUCUCAUGAAUGCCUGUGUCUCUUCCUCUUUUCCUUUGGCUUGUUAACUUUUGAUCAGUUAUUUCGAGAAUAUUUCUCUCUGGCUUCUUCCCCCCGCCCUUCCUUUUUAAUUUCCCUUUUUGUACCUUCUUGUUUAGCCUAAAAACUUCUGGUUGUAAAAACCAUCCUAAAGUGUCUCCAAGUCUUUGGGGGAGUAGGCUUGUUCUCUGGGGCUCCAGAGGCAGAGUGGAGACCUGAAGGCUAAUAUUUCCCUGCAGAGAGAUUUCAUCUCAGUUGUGUUCCACUUGUCUGAACCCUCCAAAGGUGUGGUGGGAGUUAUUGAAUCAAGUUGGGGCUAGACCAUGACUUGGUCACGGUGGUGUUUGUGGAGGGUACUGUGUCUUGAAUGGGCAGCUGGAUUAUGAUAAGCCCUUCCAAUCUUAUCACCAAAGCCCUGGAUGGACGUUUUGUGGAUGUCCAGAGAAGCGCUCUCAACUGGGAGACAGAGCCAGUAUAUCAGCAUGACUUUUCUGCCUAGCUGGCAGGUCAGGAUGCACACAUAUUAUUACUACUUCAGUUAAAUCACGUAUACUUGGAAGUCAUUUCGAUACACCUCUCCACCUGCAGCCCUCAGGGAAGUUUUAAAUUUUCCUCAUUUUCCUCUAUGCUUAUUAUUUUCCUCAAAUGGCAGAUGUGUGAGGUAAAGUUUUCCUCUUUGGGUAUGUUCUUUAUUUUAUUUAAUUCCUCACUCUGGCAAUGCUUGCUCUUUUUUUUUUUUUUUUUUAUUACAAACGUAUUGUAUUUUAGACACAUUACAACCAGGAGAACAAACUGGAAGCUCUAUAGGUAUGUUCUGACCAUUAAAAUAUCUGGACAGUGUUAAAAAAAAAAUCAGGAGUUUAACAUAAAGCUAGUUUUCCGCCUUGCCCUGAAAACCUGGAUGAUCUGGACUCUUUGGGUCUCUGUUCCCAGAUGGUCCCCAGCAGGCAGAGCCAGGAGGGUGGCCCAUCAGGAGUGGCACGGUCCUUCCACUGGGCACAUCCCCUCCCCAGGCCACUGUACUCCUUCAUUACCUGCAUGGCCCCUGAAGACACUGGAGUUGAUGACUUCCUGGAGUGGAUAAAAUGGGCUUUUGUGAGCUAGCCUGGGAACCAAGCAGUAUGUUUGAUAUUAUUUCAUUGCAAAAGUGGAUCUCAGCUUUUAAAGUAAGCAGAUGUUUUAAAUAUCAGCAAUGCAAAUUUGGGAAUACUUAGCCUCAGCUGGAAUGUGUGUGUUCUCCAUGAUGGACUGUUUCUGAUGCUUUUCCUGUGCUGUAUCUUGGCUUAGCACUUAGUAGGUACUUAAUAAAUGAUUUACCUCAGGUGGUAACCAAGCGCCUGUUGUCCACCAGCUCCCAGGGAGUGAACAGAAAUGCCAUCUUGCUGUGGACUGGGCCUGUCAGUUCCACCUGAGACCAGAUCGCUGCCAGAUUUAUCUAGAACAUCCACUCUAGCUCUAGAUAACAGAGAUUGGAAUGUGUCCUCUGCACAGCUUCCCUGUCUGGAGAGCGAGGUAAAGACCUAGACCCCGUCGAGUUGGCCCUAAAGAGGAAACAGGACAGGGAGGCCGGCAUGAAGCCGGCAUGAAGACUGCUUUUCUGGCUGUUGCCUGCCGAACUGGAGUUUGUGGCCGGUACACAGUGCUUGCAUUCCACACCCUGAACAAGGGCGGGUCAAAGUUCAGCUCAUUCCCCUUUAAAGAAAAAAAUUCUUUGUCUUUGGCAUUUCGAAGUUUUGACCCAGAUCAGUCGGAGGCCACGGAAUGCUCAUGAAGUCUGGAGAGUUUGUUUAGUUCCUGAGUCCGGUAGCUGCCGAGGAGCCAAAGAGAGCCGGCAACCUGUUGGGCUUGAGCUGAAGCCUUGCCUUUUCAAGUUUGUGCUGGCCUGGCCUCCCCAAGCCUCUGAGGGUGAGUAGAAGGAGCCAGCACCUUUUCCCCACUCUGAAGUUAUCUUUACCCCCUGAAAUCAAACACUGCAUGCAGCACCCUGUAAAACUGCUUCCUUGUAGGCUCGAGCGUGCUUGCUAAGUAAACAUCCUCCCAUGUUUUUGGAACUGAAUUCAUUUCUGCUUCCUGGUCAUCCCAUUCGGGUUUUUUUGUUCUUGGUGCCUUGUAGAAUCAGGUUAAUAGAAGGAAGACCUAGAAUUGGGCAGAGGUACCUAAAAUGACUGUUUUAAUCCUGCCUCCUCCAGCCUCCUCAUAUAACUGGCUGUUUUCCACCGCACUCAAGGUUCCCUCUUUCGGCUUAAAGCCCCCCUCUGUCUCUGUACAGGAAAAGCCUCUUCCUUCUUUCUUGCCUAUUAAAUUCUCCACUCUUUAAAACCACUCCAUGUAUGUCUGUGUCAUUUUAUUCAAACCGGAGCAAAACCGAAAACCCUAGUGUUCUUCCAGUCAUCAAAGCCGUACCAACGGGGUCAUGGGAAGGAAAAGAUUUAGAGGGAAAAUGAAAGGAAACAAAGCCUUGCUGAACGUAGUGUUGUCAUAGGUUUUUGCGAGUCAUAGUUGGUUCAUGCCGCACCCCUGAGAUGGGGACUUAUCUUUGCAGGGACUCAGCUUAGUUUUGCUGCGGUCAUAGACUACAGUCGGCCUCUGUACAAAUUCUGUGGCUUUGUAGGUUCCUCCUGUGACCCUGCCUCGCUUUCGCUUCGUCUCUCAUGACUUAUUUGCCUCUUCUCUCACUUCCACCCACCCGUAACAUCCCCAUCGCCAUGGCAGUGAGCAGCCACGUCACUCACCAAGUUCAUGGGGUGAUGGGCCAGCUCUGUACCAAGCCUACUUCCCUCUAGUUCUGCCUCCUGAAGGAGGAGGCUCCCUGGCAGAGCUCAGAGCCCUUUGUUUAUUUGAUCCUGGGCUCUUGGAUAAAUCAGGAAUGUCCUGACAUGAACUUAGGCAUGUUUUUCUUCCAUGGAGAAGGAAACUACGGCAAAUGGGAUUUAAGUAACCAGAGGACCUUUCUGGGGGACUUGCUUUAGUGCCAUCAAGGCCACGUUCCUUUGGUCAUCAGACCAGUAGGUAACUUCUUUAUUGGCAUGCUCAACCUUGGAGCCCAGAAGGUGUGAAUUUGAAGCACUUUCCCCCCUGCUGGGAGCCUGGCACAGAUACUCUGGUCUUCUUUUAAAACUGUGUAGUGCCAUGCUUGUCUUCCAAGUGGUCCUUCUUUCUGCCGGAUGAAACUUUGGCCCAGAGUAGUUGCUUGAAGAAGGCUGCCUGGGAAGCAGAUAUGGGAUAAGGUAGCUGCCUGGCCUCGCAUUCUCAUUCAUCUUCCUGGAAGUUGCAAGGUUCUUGAUGUCAUAGACUUCAUAAGUUACCUGACCCAGGACCUGAAUAUCUCACUCACUUCUGGUCAAGUCUAGGCUCAUAUGGUACAACUGGUUGUCGGGAACCUUUCUGCAUUCUUUGGAUGUAGCAGUGUGGGAACCCAACACUCCCUUGGUCUAUCUGGGUAUGUAGGGUCUAGUGAUUUAGUAUCUCAGUUGUUCUUGGAAGCAUUUUUGCGUCUGGGGGGAGGGGCAGGAAAAUGUUGGGGGCUCUUUGCUUGCUGUAGUGGAGACCUGUGAGUAUCCAAAAACAACCCCACUCCAUCUCUAGAUCAUUGGUGGACCACCCCUUCCUGGAAGAGUUUCCAGGAGUGUGGACAUCCAUGCAUGAACAUUGUGGAGGGGUUGGGGGUCGGCUCGUGGAUGCUCAUCUUGCUUGACUGCCCAUGCUGGAGAGGAGAACCCAGUCAUUGGCCACUUCAGGUCCAGGCUUGGCUGUUGCUCUGUUUUGCUGUUUUUCAUGUUGUCAGAUCUUCUUGGGAACAAAUGACUCAGCAACCCAAAUCUCUGAGACUGUGUGGCCAAUUACUUGAAAAGUAAUUGAACGUAUUUACCUAGGCCCUAAAAUUUUGAGCCCAGGAAGGAUGGAUAUCCAGACUGGUUUUACUCUGGAUUCUUCAGGCUGCAGUUCAAUUUGGUUUUUCAAAUUCCUGCCCUGAUAGAAGGAUCUCAUGUGUGGGGUAGGCAGGCAAUGUUUUAAUUACGCUUUUUGUCCUUAAGAAAUUCCAGGGAGAAAAAGGUCCUGGUUUUUGGCCAAAAAGGCAAAAAACAACAGAAAUCAGCUAUGACUGUAAUCCUGGACUUGUCUGUGGCACAAAGAGUUAAUGGGACAGUGGUCAGGGUGAGGAACAUUUUUUCUCAGGGCUGGAGAAGCCCAUAUGGCUCAAGAAAACAUGUUGCAACAUUUAGUACAGGGCAGCCCUGUCUGGGCACUGGGGGCUGCCACUCAAAGAGUUAAGCUACUCUUAUGCCUGAGAAGGCCUCAGGGAAGGAGUGAGCCUGAAAGGACAGGGACCUCUAUGCCCCAGAGCAGUGAGGUGCAGGAGGGGUGAGGUGGGAGGGUGUGAGCUGAAAAGUGUGGCCAAGGAAGCAGAGUGUAGGCCCAACUUUUUUUGCCUUGUUUGACCAGCCUUGGCACUGCCCUCCGGCUCUCCAGGGGAAAAGCUGCAGUUCUGCUCUUGCAACACAAGGAGCAGACUGGAGAAUUUAGAUCUGCGUCACAGAGCUGAGAGAGAGAGAGAGAGAGAGAGAGAGAGAGAGAGUGAGAGAGCGAGCGAGCAAGCAAGCUCCGUCGAUAGGUCUGCUAGCAACAGCCGUGCUGCAGCAGAGAGAGAGAGAGAAAUCAAGAAACAAGUCAUAGCAACACCGGGCACCAGGUUCUGCCAGCUCACUUGCUGAGCGUUCAGAGAUCUGUCAGGGCCAGAGGCCUCUGGGUAGCCUAGGCUAGGAGAUGACACGCAAGGUGGCACGGGCGGUUCCCGUGGGGAGGAGGUGGGGUGGUGGUGGGGGGCAGGGGUGGGAGCAAGAGGUUGUGGGGCGACGGUGGAGGGUUUGAUGGGACCAAAUUCUGGAACAUUCGGGACUGCGGCACCUUACGGCGGGACCAAGAUUUGGGUCUGCGCAGGCGGCGAUGGGUGGUCCGACGGGCUUCAGGACUUGAUGGCGUAACCCCCUUCUUCCCCCACGUAUGUAUUUGCUGGGAUCAGGGGCGCUGUCUCUGUGUAUGUGGGUGCUCUGUCUUUCUCACCUUCUUUCUCGAUUUUUGCUAUUUAUUUCUCUGAGGGAGGGUUUUUUCCCACUUUAAUUUCUUUUCCCUAGUGUCAGCUGCUCAAGCCUGACCAGGGUAGAGGUGAGAGGAGUGAACCAUCCCCUGCUUCCCACCUGACCUCCCAGCUUUUACCCUAUUUCCUUCUAGUGGACAGACAGACUGGUUCUCCAAGUUGUUUGGGUGUCAGCGUCCAUCUGUCUGUCCGUGCAGGUCUUAUGUGGAAGGUAAGGGAGUGAGAAGUGCCGAAAGGAAGACAGAGGGACAGUUUUUUCCCAGGGGUUGCCUUAUUGAAAGGUCUGGCCCUGGGAUUCUGAGGCUGGUGGGGAGCCGAGUGGCCAGGGUGGGGUGUGGGCUGGGAGAAGUGGGGUAAAGCUGGUAGGUUUGUCACUGCGUAGUUGGGAAAAGUGGGGAAUGGUGACGCAGUCACUGUUGCAUCUGGUUAGGAGCUCUAUGGGGACAGGUAGUGAGGCUCCUGGGGUCUCUGUGGCCAGCUGAGAGGGGUUAAGGAUGAGCUAAGAAGGGAAGCUAGCAUUUAGAGAUUAAAUGUCAUCCUUUUGGCGUUGGAAAGUUGUUUACCUUGCGCUCUCUGUGUCUCCAUGUUGGCUCCCUUCCAGUUCACAUGUGAUGGCCUUCCCUGUACUGCUGCAUCAUUAACUAAGUGACUGAGCUGGCCUUCCAUUGGCCAGGGGAGGGCUCUCCCUCCAGACACUUCCUCUGAUUGGUGGGUGGGCCAAUGGCAGGUGAAAAGCUUUUUUUGAUUGGCUCAGGGCAGGGUAUCAAAUCUGAAUUUGCAUUUCACUUGCUUAAAGGGGAGCGGGGAGAAGCCCAGCAGCUUUCUAAAAUCUCUUUAGGGGUGUGCGUAGGCUCCUGUGUCUAUGCCUGCUUUUGACUGCCCAGUUGAAGCCUCUUCCUAUGCCUUUUAAAAUUUCACGCACUAUAAGGAGGAAGAGCUCAGGGCUCCCAAAACUUUUUAUUUAGAGGGAAGAAUGCUAGGGAGAUGGGUAUGCAGAGGGUUGACCAAAUUGGAAGAAAAUAUUUAUUCUGUAGUUUGGUGUUGGAAAAGGGAAUUUUCCAAUCAGCCACACCUCAGUGUUGCGGCAAAAUAAUUCUUGGCUCCCCUGGAAACGCAUGGGCAAGGUAGGGCAGAGCUGCUGCUGCUGAUACUGCCACCACCCUGGGCUUCCUGCUGACUCUGGGCUACUCCCUGGGGACAACAGAUUUGCAUUGACGUCCGGGGCUGUCCAGAGGCCCUCAAGAGCCAGUUGUGAGCUGAGCCCAGUAUGGGAAAGAUCUACCUUCUGGAAGCUACUACUACGUGGUGCUUGGAAAGGUGAGGAUGGGGGACUGACCCCAGGAAAUUGCUCGAAACUCCGCAUCUGGUGGGAUUUCCAGAAAAGUCAGUGGGAGACGGGAGGUUUGGAGGCCCCGGGUUAGAAAGGUUUGUCAGUCUAGGGAAUGAGGAGAAUCAGAAUAAAACUAGGGCAGCAGGCUGUCCGCCUUUGGUUGGGGGAGGGAGGCCUCGAAAAAUCAGGGUCCCGGCUCUCUAACCUGUCUUUGUCGCAGGUCUCACGUUUGUGGGGAGGGGGUUUACCAAGCCCUGCGCCAUGCGCAGUGGCCCCCACCCGUGACUGCGCAUCUGGAAGCGCAGUGCGCCCUGGGUCUCUGGCCUAGGACGAGCACCGCCCUUCUUAUUACAUAACUGAGGGCAUGGCACGCGCCUUCUCGGCCCUUCCUUGCAACCCUACCUUCUUGCUCCCCAGGGCCCAUAGAGCUGGGGAGGGUCUGACUGGGUAGCAGUGAAGGACUGCAAUCCCUGGGAGGGCUAACUCUUGUCUAGUUACUGGCAGGAGCCAAGCUUGAGGACAAAAGUGGUGGUUUUCUAGCCUCAUCUUGGGGAAGAGGCUACAGAACAUCCUUCUGAGUGCCCCAUACCACCUAUGGCCCCUAGGGCCUCUCUGGUGGAGGGGGUGGCACCCUUCUUUCACUCAUGUCCCAUCUGAUUUUUGAGAGGAUGUUUCUGAAGGAAAAGAUGUGAUGAUUAUCGGGGGCUUGGUUGGGAGGUAGUUUUGACAGUUUACUCCCCUUGUCACUGGCUUCCCCUCUUUUCCCUGGGUGGGUUUAUGAUCUUUCUGGACUCCUCUGAUGAGCUGCCAUUUUGGAGCCAUUUCUGCUGGUCUCCGACAUGGUGGCGUUGGUUUUUCUGUCCUGCUGUGCCAGUUCCGCAGAGUGGGCGGGGGGCGGGGGCUAUGACGGAGGAGGGGAAGGGGGGGCAAAAGCACAGCAGAGGCAGGCACAGUGGUGGCUGCCGCAAUGAAGGUGGCUCUAGGGGCAGAGCCGCCUAGUCCCACCCUUGGACACAGUCCUGGGUGGGGAUUCAGGUGGAAGGCGUCUGGGUAGGGGUUCAACACCUGGGCCCGGCUUUGCCAGAGCGUGGGUUUCCCAUGUCCUCAUCAGCCUGGUGCUUGGAGUAGUUCGGAAAAGCUGAGUGUCUGAAUGAGAGUGGAGGCAGAGGCUCGGCAGCUCAUCUCAGACGUGUCAGACCCGUGGUUUGUGUUCCCCAAAUAGGCUCUGUCUCCAGCAGCCUCCCUGUGGGGACAGGGAAGUGAGGUCCAUGGCAGCUUUGAGGAUCUGUUCGGAUGGUCCUGCCUGCUUACUGUUUUUCUUCUCUUUCUCCUCCAUGCCCCCUGCCAGUGCCAUGGUUCCAGCUGUAGUCCUCUUGUGAGGCUCCCCGCUGCCCGUUCCCCCUCUCUCCAGGCCCUUCUGCGUGCAGCGGCCAUCUUGUCUUUCUUGCUCAGAAACUUAAAAUGGUUUCUCAUAAUUCCCAGAGUAAAAUUCCUUCCCUUUAGCGUGAUGCUCAAUGCUGGCCGUAACUGGCCUUAGGUUUCCUGUACAGUCUUACCUCUCUCAGUUUCUUUUGGUGGACCAUAGGUUCCAACAAAACCAGGCAACUUCCUUUUCCUAUCUGUUUUCACCAGUGAUGUUUUCCAUGCCUCUUCUCCUCUGCAUCCACCUGUGGCAGUCUCACUUUCUCCGUGGACCUCUCCUGAUUUCCUUGGCAAGAAGCAGUUCUCAUAACCACCCCUGCCCUUUCAGCCAAACUUCCAUACAGUCUGUCCCUUUUUAUGGUACUUUUGUUGUGUUAUGAUUAUUUGUGUAUAAGUCUUAUGUCACCUAUCAGAUUGGGAGCUCCAGGAGGGAGGCUAGAGAAAGGAGAAGGAAAACAAAUACCUAUUUGGUGCCUUCUGUUUGACAGAUACCAUGUUAUACACUUUCCCUGCAGUUACUUCAUUUACUCCUUUCCACAGCCCUGUGGGGAGCAUCCCAUGUCUAGUAAGUGGCCUGGUCAUGACUAGAGCCCUGGUCUUCCAAAGCCUUUACAUUUUUCCUCUCUGAAUUACUGGUGUUUACAAGAUGGCUGUUAUGAAGUAGAUCCCCAAAAUUUGUCUAUUUAAGGAAUUUUGUAAGUCCCUAAUGCUCUGAGGGAGUUUGGGUGGUCAAUCUUGUGUCCAUGGUCUGGGUCCCUCAGCUGUUCCUUGACACUGUCAUUAACUUUCUCCUCUUCCUUUGUGGUCAGGUUCACUCAAGAUGAUGGCUUUUUUCUUGUAGCUGAAAUUGAUGGAUUAACUGACUCAGUUAUCCUGGUUGCCUUCCUCGUACAAGAGGAGGGAGAGGUGGAGUGGGAUACAGCAUCUUCAAAGCCAGAAUAAGCUCCAGAAUUAGAGAGCAGGGAGCAGAGACACUGGACUUGAACAGACCUAGGUUUUCAUUGUGAUCCUUCUUCUUAGCUGAGUGACUUUAGACAAGUCAUAUGAUUUAAGUUUUCAGUGAGAUGGAGCUACUACAACUGUUAUACAGAAAUGCCUAAUAUAUUGGCAGCAAAUAGGUUCCCAUCCCUACCCAGUGGUUUAUCAGGGACUUAAAAUGGGAGCAUAGCAGGGGGCUAGAGAAGAAAUGGGGGAGACAGGAGCUCCUGUGCCCUAAGUGGUAUCACAGCAGGGGCGCAGAGGAGGUAACCUAGGCGUUACGCCCUUCAAGCCUGCAAGGUGUACUGUCCCCCACCUGCCAUAAAUACCCCUUUACUUCUGCAUCAGGAACAUGCCAUGGCAUCUGAGUGGUGGGGGCUGGUGACGGCAGAGGGAGGGUCAGUGAGCUUUCCUGGGAGCCUUUUGAUGCCAGGUUAGUUUCCCUUCUUUCUGAAUCUCAGCAGUGGCUGCCUGCUUCCCUGACGCUGCUGAGUCCCACGGGAGGGGAGCUGGGCACCCUGAAGCCCCUCGUUACCAAUUCGGGGGCCGCGGAGCAGAGUGUGACGACAGCCAGUGAGUCGUCAGUCGACGGCAAUGGGGACCCUGGUGACGGCUGCUUUGUUGUUUUUUUUCCUCUUUGGAAGAUGACUCAGUGUAUCGGGAGCCGGGAGAUGGAGCUCUCAGCAGAGUGGCCAGGAUGUUCUGUCAACAUGAAAGCUACAAAAACAGCUCGGGGCUCUGAGCUGAUCCUUAGCCUGGGGUCAUUUUCAGGGAGGGCUGGACAGAGAAGGCGGCCACCGCCCGGGCAUCAGGAUGGGAGCGACACCAGGUAACUCAGCAGGGCUCUGGGAACCCUUGCAUUUUAGAGUCUGAAAAGAAAAUAACAGCUGUAUGUGUUAUUAGAUGAGCUUGGCAAAUAGGGUCACUUUUUGAGUUCUUCCCACUAGUCCCAGAUGACAGACAUCUUCCCAGGGCCCAGAAAGCCCUUUGGGAUUUUUCACCGUGGUUCUCUUUGUGAUAGUCUUGCUGGUCAUUGCCUUGAAUGAAGGGCGAUUCGCUUCUUGGGGUAGGGGUGGGCCAGGCCGACCUCAGUGAAUGCGGGCGCACCUGUACCUUGGGAGAAGUGGCCGUGGUGGGGCUGUGGCGUCUUGAGAGUCCUCUGCCGGGCGGCGCUUCAAGAUGGCGGAUCCGCAUCACCGUCACUAAGCUAAAGGCUGGCUCUUGGGCAGCCUGCGUCAGCCUCCCCUUUCCAUAUUGACCCAAAUCAGAGCUUCUCUUCUCCCCUUCAUCUUCUUCCUUUUCUUCUUAGGUGAAACAGUGGGCCUUGAGUUCUUGACCCUUUUAAUUUUGUUUGCGUCAUCAUGGCGGCUGUGGGUUCUAGGCUUUUCUCCAUACCGCAGCUUUGCGCUAUAGGC